rnacentral:lncRNA from 1 species
UUUUUUUUUCUCCUCCUUUCAGUGGUAGGAUUGAUUUUGAAUAUGGGUGGAUGGGUAUGAUCUUGAUAUCUUUCUUUUUUUCAUUUUAUCCUGUAAAGUUCAUAGGUGUUAAAGAUUGAAGGUAGCACUUAUCCUGUGUGGGUCUCAACCACACUAAACAAGUAUCAAUGAAAUGAUAUGACUAUUAUCUUUCCUAGUACUGAGAUAUUUCAGUCAAAUCAUCAACUUGGCCUAUGUAUAUACAACACCUCAAAACCAGAGUUGCACUCUGUCAAGCUAUGACACAGAAUAAUUAUUGACAUAAUUGCAACAGGAACUUGGCACUGAACUUAAUUCAAUUGCUUAAAGCUAUUCCUUCUUCCAACGCUUAUUAUCAUUCAGAGCAAUAUAAGUCCAUGCACAUGUAUUUUUGUUGGAAAUCUAUACUCAUGCAUGUUUUCUGUCAUGGAAAUGUUUGUAGUUUAUUAUUCAAAUAAAUUAUUAUAUUAAUAUCAAUGAACGAAAAUUAGAAUAAUGAUCAUCUCACUAUUUUUUUUUGGGAUUUGUGAAAUAUAUAUGUUUUUUGAUUUUUUUUUAUUAAAAAAUUAUUAUUUAUGGGAAUAGACUCAUAUCGAGAACUAAAUUACUUUCGAUAAAUAUUUAUUUUAUUUAUAAAUAUUAAAUUCUAAAUAUAUUUUGGAUAAGUAUUUAUUUUAUUUAUAAAUAUUAAAAUCUUGACCUAUUUAGAAAAGAUAAAUUGGAACCAUUUAUUCCACAUUAGUACAACUUUUACUUUGCCAUCGCUUAUUUAGGUGGGUAAAAAUAUUUGAAGUCCCAAUGUAUCAGGUAGACAUGGCCAUUCCAAGAUUUAUUUUUUGAAUCAAACUAAUUUAAAAUAGUUCAAAAUAAUUUUAGUUUAAUUUUAAUUCAAAUUUAAAGCAGUUAUAAUUUUAAUGUUUAACGAUUUCGGUUAUUAUUUCAAUUAAAUUUAAAUUAUAAAUAGAAAAUCUGAUUUGAAUUAAAAAAAAAAUAACGGCAAAAAAUUUAAAUAAAAUAUAAAAAAAUAAAUAUAAAUCAUUAAUAUUAUUAAAUAUAUAUUUUAUUGAAUAAGUAAAUUAUAAAAUAUAUUCAUUCAUAGGAUAUAAAAAAAGAAAAUGAUAUACAUAUAAUAUAAAAAUAAAAGAAUAUUACAUUUAAAUAUAAAUAAUAUUUUUUAUAAAUUAAACAUAAAUUUAAACUUAAUUAUUUAAUAAUUUAAUUUAUUUAUAUAUAUAUUUAUAUAAUUUUUUAAAAUGAUUUAUUUAAAAAAUAAAAAAUCAAAUUAAAAUCGAGUUGAAUCGAAUAAUCGAUUUAAACAGCUCGAUUCUAAUUUAAUUAGUUUAUGUAAAGAAAAUUAUAACCAAUCAUUUCUCUAAGAUUUCGAUCUAAUUUUAAUUUAAUUCACUGUUUGAAUCAGAUUGUAAUCAUAUCUAAUAUUGGAUUCGACUCUCAUUUCUCCUUAUUAAAAAAAAUAUCCAAAGUUUGGGUACGUGAAGCUUAAUUUAAAGUAAUACUUUAGAAAAGACACCAUCUCUUUGAAGGAGGAUGGAGCUAAAUCAAUAUGCAAAAGAGGAACAUUUUCGUUUGUAGAGAAGCUGUUUCACAAUCUUAGGAAGAUAAGACUUUGGGUUUGACAAGCAAGUAGAAACUUGCUCUUCCUUGUGUACUUUUUUAUUACUGCUUUAACCUGAAAAGUGAUGAUUUUCUUCAUAUUUUCAAUUGAAAUACAUUUUAUUAAAAUAAUAAUAGUAGCAAACGAAAUCCAAUGUGCCACAAACUCUAUAGGUUUCAAAGUAAGGAACUUUUGAAAAAUCAAUAUGCACAUGUUAAAUUAAGUAAAUCAAAAUAGAAAAUUCUUGAUUUCAGGGAAACCAACGAUGUUUUUCUUCUUAUAUAAUACAGGAGGAAAUGAUAAAGAAAGUUGCAUAGAUAACUAAAACAAUAAAUUACUUUCCAAUCCUAGAAUAUAAAAUUCUGAAUUGAAUUGAAAAAUUUUAAUAAAAUUACAGAAACAGUUUAUUUGAUACAUGAGCUAAAUAAUUACAACAUAAAAAUUAAGGGAUUUUUGUGGUAUUUUAAAGUAUUUGAUUAACGAAAAAAUAAUUUAUCUUAAUUAAACAAGAAAAGUUAAAAAAAAUAAAAAAAUCUGAAACUGGCAGUAUCUUAAUUAUACUUGAGUUUGAAAAAACUAUUUGGGUCUAAUUAAUUCAAUUUGAAUUCAAAAGAAUAUUCUCUGUGCAGUUCGCAAUUAGGUCUCUGGAUAUUGGUUGAAGUUAGACUGACACUAGCCUGAUGAGACCCGUCUAUCUUAUACUCAACUUAAUAAAAUAAAUUUCGAAAAAAAAAUUAAUAAAAUAAAUAAUUUCUUUAUCUUCUAUCCUUUAGCAUUUUUUUCAUAAAUUAAAAAUUGUAAAAAAAUUUUUAUACACUCACAAAUUUAAAUUGCCAUAUUUAAAUAAAUCUAAAAUAUUUUAGAUUUUACUCCUCCAAUCCUCAAUUUCUAUUUAAAAAAACAAAAAAACCUUCAUAUCAAUCUCUUACUCUAUAACACAUAUAUUUAAUCAUCAAAAUAUUGCUUCCAUAUUUGAUAUACAUAAAUUAUGAAAAAUAUGUGAAAUUUACAUGUAAUUUAUACAUAUAUAAUUUAAUUAAACAUAAAAUCUAGAAAUAAAAUAUUAAAAUUAUUUUUAUAUAAAAUUGAUAUUAGCAUUUUAUAUUAGAAAUUAAUAUGAGAAAUUAAAAUCUACAAGGAAACAAUUUAAUUAGAGUAAGAAUUAAAUGUGGAAGGUCAAUGUUUUGUUCAGUCAAUUGAAAGGCUAAUAUUAAAGGGAAAAUCAUGCAUACACAAAGACUUUUCAUUUUGAUUUUGUAUGUGGUUAAAUGAAUUUGGUCACACAUCCAUUGUUCUAGACAACUGCAAUAAUUAUUUAAGCACACCACAAUAUCAGCUUUUCCUUUUCUUUAACUUGCCUAACAGAAUAUGCACUUCUCAUUCAAUUAAGUAAUCCUACAAUUAUUAGUAAUAUUAAGAUUAACUGUCCAAUUUUCAAUGUUAACUCUCAUAUCAUCUCUUACAAUUAAGUUAUUUAUUUAUUUAUUUAGAACGUUUGCCAUCUGAAAUUUAUUUAUUCAAUAUUGAGAAACAUAAUUAAUAGCCCAGCAUAUCAUUAUUAAUUAUUAAUGGACUCAGUUGUCCGCUACGAGUACGAGACCCAUAGAACUACCCGAUGGGCCUUGCUCCUGCUCAGUGUUAUUGGAACUGUGUGUUUUAAGGAAACGCUGCGCAUAACAAAAAGCUGUUGCAAGUUUCAUUCAAACAGCUGUGUUUCACUUUCAUUGUUUAAUUCUUUAUUUUGGUGCUAAAUGCUUAAUUUCGCUCCACAGGGAAUGAACAUUAUGCUUUCAUAUAUUUCUUAAUUUUUUAUUUAAUUCAUUUUUUAAGGAUUAAAGUGAGCUUAUAUUGGAGUUUUUGAGCUAAUUUCAAUAAAAAAAAAAGUUAUGAUCAGCAAUAUUUUUAAUCCAUCAAAGAUAGAUUAUGAGAAAGCAGCAAAAGGCUCAACGCUGAAAAGCAGGCAACCAAAGGACAAACCACAACAGCUCAAAACAAAAAGGCCCAAAGGCCGAAAACAGGCGAGAUCUUCUCUUCUUGUAUUUUCUUUUUCUCUGAAUAAUUCGGUGGUCUUAUUUAUCCAGUACUUUGCUAAAACCUGUCUAUUAAUUCAAUAAUUGGAACUAACCAAACCAAUUCUGAAUUCUCUAUUAGGUCUUCAUACUACGCUUUUAAUCGAUUGUAUUUUACAUGGAUGUCAGUUCCCUCUUUAAUGGAUGAAAGAGACCUUCUUAGAAUAGGUUGGAAAAUAGCACUGUGGAAAAAUCAAAAUUAUCGGCUGAAGUGACAUUUUAAUAUUUUUAAUUCUUUAUUUGAAAUUAAAAUUUUGAUAUACUUUUUAUUCUUAUAUUGAGAAUAAAAUAAUGCAAUCCUUUUCAAUUUUAAAAAUUUUCACAUUAAAGAAAAAUAUAUCUAAAAGUUUAUUUAAUUUUUUAUAAAUUAAUCUUUUUUGUGCCUUUACCUUAAAAUCAUAAUUGAAUAUUUUGUUCAAAUUAGAUUAUUUAUGGAAAUAAUAUUUUGUGAUACUCUAUCUGUUGCAACAAAAAAAAAUUGUUUUGCCUUUCUUAAUGUAGUCCUGUUGAAUAUGAAUUGAAAGGGUUAAAUUUAUCAAUUUUAAGAAUAAUUUAGUAAUCAAGCAAUUAUCCAAGGAGAGAAGUAAAUUAGGAAAGAUAACAUGAAAUUUAUUAUUUUUAAUUAUAUUUUCUUAGUUCAUAUAAAUAUCUAAUAAAUUAAGUAUGAAAUUUGUGUUUUAGUAUAUAUAUAAUAACACAAGUGAAACUGGCUGCUUUAUGUUUAAUGUGGAAAAUAGGAUAUGCUCAUAAAAUACAAGCAGAGAUAACAGCGCAUAACUACGCAGUCCUCAUCAGUUGUAGCAACUGAUGGAUGACAUACAAGGUGGCACAAUCACUCGCAUCACCAUUUAUUCAUACCUACCAUAAUACAUCGAGUUUUAAGUCGUUUAUUUGGAUGGAUAGGAGAUGGGGGAUUGUGCCUUGCUUGGGGGGCUACCUUGUAGUUAAGGAGCUGGGGGCUUUUUGUAAGACGGAGGCUUCUUGUAAGGUGGAGGCUUCUUGUAAGGUGGGGGCUUCUUGUAAGGAGGCUUGUAGACUGGUGGCUUCUUAGGGGGCUUGUAAUGAGUUGGUGGCUUAUUCACCUUGGGAGGCUUGUAAUAAGGUUUCUUGAAGGUUUCAGGUUCAUAGAUUGGAAUGUCGGGCUCAGAAGGGUCAUAUUUUGGCUUGUAAUCAGCAAGGGUUGGACUAGCUAUAAAAGCUAUAGCUACUCCGACGAACAACAGUGCUACCAAGAUUGCAUGCAUUUUUAGGUUUCCAAUGAUGCUGCAUUACAAAAGAGGUAUGGGUGCCUUUUAUAGACGUCUCAGAUCUUUGCUGGGUACACGUGUCACAGUUUGGUUCACAGUUUUUUCUGUCGGCAUAAGUCAAAAAUGGUUUCUAAAUUUUCGUGGAGACAAUAAAUGAGAUGGGCACAUUUGGGUCCUAUUUGUGUACAAUAGUUGAAAAACUGGGGAAAGGAUUUGGUAUCUUGUGCAGGGGAAAUAUUAUGAAGAUCUCUUAAUUUAAUUCUAAUUCAUCAUUCGCUUCUUUUGCAUUAACUACGGCUGCUUCAACGAUGCGGAGCAACUAAUUUAAAUUUUAAGAUAGACUUAAAUUGAUUUUAAUUUUUAUUAUUGAAAUCUGAUAAAGAUUUAUAAUAACUUUUUAAAAUUUUUUUUCAAUUUUUAAUAUACCUUUCCGUCUAUUUUAUUUUAAUUAAAUAAUAUUAAUUAAAAAUAAAAUAUAAUUAAUUUUUUAUCAUUAAGUUUAUUAAUGAAUUAUAUUUUAUUUUAUUGAUAUUAAAAUCGUAUCUAAAAUUAGGAUAUUUUAUUAAUGGAGCCAUGAUGGUAGUUACUGUUUUUCCUUCUAAAAUUCAGCAUAACGUGCACUGUUUGUCUCCAUGUAGUUGGUCAUUCACUAUCACUCUAUUAAUUCCCGUUUGGUACGAGACAGUGGAUCACAUGUAAUAUGAACAUAUAUAUCAUAUUAUUAUUAUUUUAUUUUGUAUUGCCUGAAGUUAAAAUCAUUUUUGUUGUUUCAUUUUCUCCCUAGUUUCAUGAGAAUGUAUUGGCAUUGGUGAACUUUUUAUGUUGCUUUAAAUGCUCUGAAAUAGAAAAUUAUUCCAUUUGUAGUCUUUAAUUCUUCAAAGAUUGAUCAUACAUUUUCACAACAUAAAUUGCAAUUUUCUGUCUGCUUGAGAGUAAAAUGAUUUUUUGUAAAUGCAAAUCGAAAUACAAGUGCUAUUUGUCUCUCUGGUAAUUAUCAACCAUAUAUAAUUUUCAUGAGUAAUCUUUUAGGUUAUUCCUUCAAACAGCAAAAGAUACUAAUAGUAGAGCUCACCGCUUAAUUUAGAUUAUUUACUGGCUACAAUUCGUGAUGAAGUGCAGUUAAGGCACAUAAGCUAUCAUCUACAGUGAAAAAGCAUAAGCUCUUAUUUCUAGUAACUUUAUAUAUGGAUUGGUAGAAGUGGCUUGUGGUGUGGACUAGACGUCGUCAUCAGGAGCCGGUUGCAUCUUACGUGGAAUUUCAGGAGGCAUCACCUUUGGUGGUGGCUUUUGGAGAGCAGCACAAUCCACUCAUAUUCCAUAACGACUACACAAUUAAUGUAACUAUUCUUAUAUUAGUAGGAGCAUGUUACCACCUGAUUAUAUAUGGCUAAUAAUUAAUACAUCCACAGAUCUAGUAUAGUACGUGAAGGAUAGAUAGAAUCAUAUUCCGACAUGUGCAUUUAUUUGAUACAUUUAGGCUGAGGAAUGGUCAGUAUUCGGUUCAAACCGAAAAAAUCGAUCGAACCGAAUUGAUUUAAAAAUUUAGUUUAAUUUUUUAUACAUUUCGGUUAGGUUUGAUUUUUAAUUUUAGAAAUUUCGGUUAUUUCAAUUCGAUUCAGUUAUGAUCAGAAAAAAACUGAAAAAACCGAACCGAUUAGUAAUAAUAAUAUGUUUUUUCAAUAAUAUAAAGAAAUUAAAUCAUAUUAAAAUUAAAAUAUUUUAAUUAAAUUUUAAAAUAUUAAAAAUAAAGUGUAAAAAAUAAAAAAAAUUAUUAAAAAUCGAAAUCGAUCAAAUCGAAUCAGACCGGUUCGGUUCGAUUCGGUUUCUGACCAAAAUCGGUUCGGUUCGAUUUUUAUAAACACUAAAAUUUCGGUUUUCGAUUUAUUCAGUUCGGUUUGAUUUUUGAACCGAACCGACUGAAUGCUCACCCUUAAUUCAGGCCAUACGCAAGUUGAAGAUGGAGGGCUGUUUUAUGGCAUCCUCGGGUUGGGGAUUAUUACCACCACAAUUAACAACUCUUUGCUUGUGCUCCGAUAAUAUCUUUGGUAAUGCUUCGUUGGAAGGUUCCACAGCAGCAUCAAAGGCCAUUAAUUUUCUUUCUGAAUUAGGAGGCCUCCGGCCACGGGGCGGCCUUCUUUGAGGUGGCCUUUGUUGAGCGUCAAAUGAAGGGGUUAAGGAAAGAAUUAUGCUCCAACAAGGAACAACAGCAGCAAGUGUUUGAGAUUGAUCAGAGCCAUUUUUGAGCAGGCUGUAGCUGUGAGCGUGCAAACACCAGAGAACUGGAGGGAUCUAUUUAUGGUGAAAUGGAGACCAAUCAGUCAAUCACGUUCCAUUGAUUAUUUGUAUUUUGUGCAGAUUGGUGCAACUGCUUUGUUGAAAAAUAGGGUGUUUCUUACGUGGAUUCGUGGAAUUAGGAUAUACUACUCGGGACGAAGCAAAAAUCUAGUGCUAUUAUUCAACAAUCAACACAUAUUUCUAUGCCUUGUAUCCCAAUUUAUUUAACACUGUGGUCAAGCAACUUUUGAAAAUAAACUAUCCAGAAUAAACGGAUAAAAAAAACGCAUGUUCGUAUAAAAUUAAUAGUGAAGAAUACAAAUUCUGUGUCACCAUUGAAAGAAAAAGAUAAAUAAAAAACUAUGCCUAAUUUAAUAGUGAAGUAAGAAUACAAAUUCAAGUAUGUUUGUACCUUUCUUUCAAGGUUAUAUAUACGUUGAUACCCUAGCAUCUCAAUUGGUACUAACAAUUUCUGCAUUGAAUACAGAGAUGUGCUUCCAUUAACAUAUUCAAUAAGCAGAACACAAAUAUAGCAGAAAAGAAGGCAGUGGACGAGUUCGCUAACAGCUAAGGAGACCACUCAAUUAUCUGGCUCCUUCCAUGCUUUCUAUUACCCCCCUAUAGCUCUCAAAACAUUUGUGAGGUUCAGAUAUCAGAGAAAUCACAUACCACAGUAAAUCUUUAUGAAUCAAUCUGUUUACACUAUAUUUGAGACAUCCCUGCACCAAAGUGUUAUAUUUGAAGAAAACUACAUAUAUCAAAAGAAGCGGGUAAGGGGAAAAUCAGCAUGACCUAGAAGUUUUGAAACUGGGUAAUGUUCUGGAAAUUUGAUGUCUAAUAUCCCAUUAACAGCAUAUAUUUCCCUGUAAAAAUCCUCCAUCGCUUUGAUUGUGGCUGCAUCUGGGACCUUACCAGCUGCAUGAAUCCAAAGUCGGCCUUUUGGCGAGUCAAAUAAGGAAAAAACAUUAAUGUCCAUGACAAAUGUAUCUAACACAGUAUCUCGAUUACAAUUGAGAACCAAAGAAAAUCCAGGCAAUCUUAAUCUGAAAUCAAUGAGCGUGAGAAUUUGAUAUAUGACAUUAAUGCAAAGCAAAGACCUCUAACACCAUCAUCAAUAAAAUAGAUAGACCCUUGAAAUUACGUCGAAGUGUUUUUUAAGACAUCCAUAGCAUCUAUUACAUGCUCUCUUUUUCCUGAUAACGUACUAUUAUAUGCAUAAGACAUCCAGAAUGUUCUAGAAUGCAAUUUGAGCGAGUAUUGUUUCUUGUUAAAAUUCUGUGAGAAUCUCCCUAGAUCUUCCAAACAAAUCACCGCCUAAACUAAAAUCCCAAUAUUCUCCCAUUCGCAAUUUUAAGUAAGCAAGAAUCAUGGGCUCGCCUAAACAGCAACAAACUCAAUUUUAGGAACUGAAUUUCCAAAAAUCAAUGGAAGCAAACAAGUAAAACCCAACUUAAUGAUAUGCAUAGUAUAUAUAUACCCAGUGCAUGCAACAAAAUACGUCAUAUAUUAAAGAAUAAAUAAGAAUAAAAGCUGAGGAGGACCAAAAGUAAAAAAUUAGAAAAAAAAAAAAAAAAAGGAAAAGUAUCAUCCUUUUUUGCAGAUACCUCAUACCUCUAACAGGGGCAGGCCAUGAUCUGCCUUCAACACGGUUAAUACCAUGAACAAGCAAAGAGGCCCAUGGCUGACGCAAUGUGAGACAUGGGUUUAUGUAGUUUCCAUGAUGUUUGCCUCCCAUUUGAUUUUGAUUUUAAACCAUUUACGAAAAAAUAAAGGGUUUAUUGCAAUGCCCUCUCCUUUAUAGGAAAGAAAUUCGCUGCCCAGGCAAAUGCCCUCUCCUAUGUAUAUAUAUUUAAAUUUACCGUUUAGAAAAAAAUAUAUUAAUUAAUUUUUUAAUUUAAAAAAAUAUUAAAAAUUCCUAAUAUUUUAAAAAUAUAUUAAUUAAUCUUUUAUUAAUUUCAAUUAUUAAAUAAUAUUACUCUUUAUAAUUUAAUAAAAAAUUAUUAAUUUAUUUUUUAAUUUUAUAAAAAAUAUAUUAAUUAAUUUUUUAUCGACUAUAUUUUAAUAUAUUUAAUUGUUAAAAUCAAUAAAUAGGUUAAUUAAUAAAUUUUUUUAUGAAAGUAAAGAAAUAUUUAAUAAAGUUUUUUAAAAUUAAAAACAACUAAUAAAAUUUUUGAGAAUAUAAAAAUUAAAUAAUACAUUUCUCUUAGAGAAUCUUUUCCCUCCUAUUUACUAGUCAUAGAUAUUCGACGAUCAUAUUACAUUAUAAAAUAUAAAAAAAAAUUUAAAGUGGAUGCUAAGAUUUAAGUUCUUUUAAAAUUCUAUGAGAAAAAAAAAAAUUCUUUUCAAGUUAUGGGACGAGGGAGUGGGGCAGAAUGUAAAGCCACAGUGAGGUAAAAAAAAAAAAAGAAAAAUUCCUUUUCCUUAAUGAAUAGGAAGUGAGAGCUUAGAACCUGAGAUUAAAGUGACUUGCAAAUAUUUUUAAUUUCAACUAUUUUAUCAAAUCAGUCUACAUAAAAAAUAAUUAGAUUCCGGCAACUGGUUCGCAAGACGAGCAACACUGCGUUACUUUAGUUCAUCUUUUAAUUUAUGCUCAAAUAAAUAAGUUUUGGAAUUAAAUUCAUUUGUUAACGAUAGUAGAGAAAUAGCUCAAGUAUUGGGAGGUGGGAAGAUAAGAUUUUGUUUCUGGGUAAGGCAUAGUUGUGGCACACCAUAACUUGGAAUGCUUCAAUGGUGGUAACAUGAGAAUGCUCUAAUGGUGGCCACGCUCUUUCCUUGUUCAUAUUACUUAUUAAAGUUGAAAUCUUGAAACAGCAAGACUAGUGCGUGCUUAGCUCUGUAAUGCGUCAACAGGUGGCUGCUUCUGCCGCCUGCCUGCAACUUUCGCAAGAGUUCCUAAACAAAGGAACAAACAAGCAAAAGGAAGCGUCUUGGUUUUCUUUCUUUUCUUUUUCUAUGUUUCUCACUAUUGGCAUAUUCACCUAACUAUCUACUUUAGCUCUCUUUCAUUCUUUCAAUUCUCAAAUCAGCUCAUUUUCAUUUCUCAAUAACAAGAAUAUAUUCUUUGGCCUUUUUCGAAUUCAGCAACCAACGGACACCAUUCAUUCUUUGCUCCACCACAAAGAAAUCAAAACCCAAUCUCCUCUGUCUUUUUUUUUUUAAAAAAGCAUGUUCGUAUUUAUAACUGCUCAACUGGGUCAAAGGGCUUGUAGUGCUGUUGCUGCUGCUGGUGGUGGUCCUUUAUUCUCCUUCUUCCUUGCCUUAGCUUUUCCUUUUUGUUAUGUGCUUGUUUAAAUUUGAAGGUUGAGAGAAAAGGAGGCUGGGAGGUAUGGAGCCUGCUGUUCUUAAUGGUGUGAUUAAUAGGUUGCUUGAAGUUAGAGGCCAACCAGGGAAACAAGUGCCGCUUUCUGAGACUGAGAUUCGGCAGCUUUGUAUCACCUCCAGGGAGAUUUUCUUGAGGCAGCCCAAUCUUUUGGAGCUCGAAGCUCCUAUCAAAAUCUGUGGUAUUUUGCCUUCAAAACCUAUAUGUCAUGUCUAUCUAUUUCCAACUGAUAGAAUUCAAUUGCCUAUUAGGGGCUACGAGUAUUGGUUAAGAUAUUAGUUCGGUUUUGUUUUAUUGCAAAUUCAAUGAUCAGCAUAGAAAAUCAAUUAUUAGAAGUGGGUCUUAAUCUGUCUUCAGUUUGUAUGAUUUCUGCAUCGGUUAUGUUUCGUAUUUAUAGGUGGAUUGUCUUCUAUUCUCGACUUUGCCGGUAGAAUAUGCCAAGGAUAUUUUAUGAAUUUUGUCUAUAAAAGAUUCCUGGAUUGGAAGUCUGUUCUUGCAUCUAAUGGAUGUUUUGAAAUACAAGCUGUUCUUUCACUGAUAUUGAUUCCAGAAACCGUUCUUCUAAUUUGGUUCAAAAUCAGUUUAACUAAACUGGGAUUUUAGGUUCUCUCAACGAAGGACCUUUACUGCCUUACCUUUAUUAUGCUCACCAAGUGUUUGCACCAAAAACAUCAAGAAUAGCAAUGCAAUUUAAAAAUAAAAAGGGCCACUCAUUGACAUAAUUAAGGGCAAGAAAUUCUAAUGAUCUCAUUGGUGGAUGUAUCCUAACUUCAACAUAAUUGAUAAAUCCUAGCUAUUCUUGUCUAUUAUAGCUUGAUAUCUUUUGUGUAUUCAUCAUUCUGCUACAUCUCUUAAAUGAAAUAUCUGGCAUGUGAACCAGCUUGGCUAAUCUGUUUUCUCAAAUUCAUUCUCUUCACUACCUUGUUUUCUAAUAUAUCAUCCCCUGUUCCCCUCUGAUUUUGGGUUGCAAACUUUGAGAAUUGAGAUUUGCAUGAAUUCCUUUCCCCAGUAACUUGCAUGAAGUCAUACAAUAUUAUUCUAAGCUGUUUAUAAUAGUAUCAUUUAUUUGUUUUCUUUUUUUGCUUUUAAUGUUAUUCAUCUGCAGUAGUUUUAUCAUUCUCACAUGUGUUACUUGUUUCUUUAUACCACCAGGAGAUAUACAUGGACAGUAUUCUGAUCUUCUGAAGCUUUUCGAAUAUGGUGGAUUACCUCCUCGUGCUAACUAUUUAUUCUUAGGGGAUUAUGUAGAUCGCGGGAAGCAAAGCCUGGAAACUAUAUGCCUUCUUCUUGCAUAUAAAAUAAAAUAUCCUGAAAACUUUUUCCUACUGAGGGGAAACCAUGAGUGUGCUUCUGUAAACCGUAUAUAUGGAUUUUAUGAUGAGUGCAAAAGAAGAUUCAAUGUCAGACUAUGGAAAAUAUUCACAGAUUGUUUCAACUGCUUGCCUGUGGCAGCUCUUAUUGAUGAAAAGAUUCUUUGUAUGCAUGGUGGACUUUCUCCUGAUCUGCACAAGUUGGACCAGAUAAGGAAUUUGCAACGACCUUGUGUUGUUCCUGAGUCUGGAUUGUUAUGUGAUCUCCUCUGGUCUGAUCCUAGUAAAGACAUUCAAGGUUGGGGAAUAAAUGAAAGGGGGGUUUCAUAUACCUUUGGUGCUGAUAGGGUUAUAGACUUUCUGCGAAAACAUGAUCUUGAUUUGAUUUGUCGAGCUCAUCAGGUAUAAUUUAGACUAUCAACUAUGUGCAGACACUAAUAUUCAUUUAGCUUGGCAUGUAUUGUAAUUAUUAUUAUUUUCACAGGUCGUAGAAGAUGGAUACGAGUUCUUUGCAAAUAGACAACUUGUAACCAUAUUUUCAGCUCCUAAUUAUUGUGGAGAGUUUGACAAUGCUGGUGCCAUGAUGAGCGUGGAUGAGAAUUUAUUAUGCUCAUUCCAAAUAUUGAAACCAGUUGAUAAGAAGCCAAAGUUUGGUUUUGGAAGCAUGGUUACUGCUAAGCCUGGCAACAGUACAGCAAAAAUCAAGGUACAUCUUAUUCCUUCUGGCUUCAAAUGUAUGGAUUACCGACCACAUAAAGUUAAUUAGAGAGUGGCCCUUGCACGAAAUUUUGGCCUUAGUCCCUGAAAUAUAAUUCUGUUAACAGAUACGUUGCUUGUUAGUGUGUCAUCUAUAGAAACAGUUGUAUGAAAUUGGUCUCAAAACGUAGUUCGUUCUUCCUUCUGAAUUUUGGUCUUCAUUUGCUUCUGAAAGUAUGUCACAAGAGGUCCUCAAAUUGGCAUUUCAGAUGCAUUGCUGUGCUUAGUAUACAUGAACUGCCUUCUUCAUGCUGCAUUCUGUCAUUAUGCUUUUUCCUUUCACAGCAUCUGAUUCUUCACAGCUCCCACCUCACCACCAAACCAUGAGAGGAAAGUUACUGGUCAGCUCCACAUUUAGAUUCAUCACUUCUUACUUUUUUAUUUUAUUUUAUUUUUUUCGGUUAACAAAGCAGGCGAGGGAAUACUCAAUAAACUUGGGAUGAAACACCCACCAGAUUAAGCCCGUGGGUGAUGCUCUUAUCCUAUUUUUAAUUAUGUGGUCAAGCUUUUCUUAAUAAUGUGUUCCAUUUCCUUUUGCCAGUCACUUUUAAAAGUGUAAGGAAUCUGAUCCAGCUGCCGUGGAAAGUGACUCGCAGAAUAUCACCACUGUACCAUCUUGUUUAGGUGAAGAUAAUACAGAGAAGUUCAUCGUCCAUGAAAAUUUUAGGAGGUUGUAAUCUCUAUGGGUUUUUUUUCAGUAUGGUUGCGUGUUGCAACUCUGUUAUCAUCUUACAAUAAUCACAGAGCAGAAAAUAUUUUAUUCCCUCAUUUUCCCAACUGGUGUUAUUAAGCAUAAACUAAAUCAUUCUUACUUAGCAGCAAUUCUUCCUUCAUAUUCUUUUCUUGCACUUGUAGAUCUGAAAAAUUCAUAUUACAAUAAGGUUUUCCAGCGGAAAGGAUAAGAUUUUUGCGGGGGACCAAUUUAGAUAAUUGAAAUGCACUUUGAAUUUGCAUAUAUGCCUUGUUGACUUGGAAAAUUUUCAUUGGAUCCAAAUAACUGGUGAUCAAAGUCUUACAACCACUUUGUAUUAUUCCAAAAUGGACCAUUGAAAUGCAUGUAAAUCGCCAAAAUGCUAAAAGCCAAUUUCACUUGCUGCAUAUUUUCGUUACUUUUUGAAUUUUAGUGGAUCAAAUGCCAAAUUGACCUCUUGAUUCUUGAGGAUUGUAUUCAUUCGAAGCUUCAGAUUUGGCUCCUAAAAGAAAUCCGCACUGAUCAUGAGAUUCCAUUCUAGUAUAAGGUUAAUCUUUAAUUAUAAAAUGUUAAUUUAAGAUACAGAAAGUAUUACUACAGUCUACAAGUGGAAGCAAAAAGGACCGACCAACAGGGAUUAAGGAACGAUUAGGCUUCUGAUAAAGUAUAGGAAGAAGAUAAUGGUGAGUACGUCAUGAAUUCAUAUUUCAUAAGGCUUUUUACGGUAUAACUUUUAGAAGAUAAUAUACAUUAAAUUAAAAGUAUAGUAUUAAGCUGAUAUGAGAGUUUACAUCAUUAAAAUUCUUUGUGAAAAAAAUUUUAAAAAAUAUAAAAAUUAGGUAAGGGUAAUAGCUGAAUAGAAAUUCAUUUAAAAAAAAUAAUAAAUAAAGAAUAGACACUGCAAAGUGCUAAUGUGAAUGAAAUUUCUUGGGAUAGAUACCACCGUAUGUGGUUGUUAUUUUUAGACCUCUUAAGAAUUUUAAAAAUUUUGGAAUAAAGAAUGUUCAACGAUUUCUAAAACAGAACGGCAUUGACUAACAUAAAUAGGUAAACCCACACUUCCAUAUUUAAAAAUUAAAUAAAAAAUUCAAUUUAAUUAUUUUUUUUUAUCAAAUCUCAUACUAAAACAUAUGAUAAGUAAAAAAUUAAUUUUUUUAAUUUUAAAAAAUAAAAUAUAUGUGAAAAUAAUAUAAUAUUAUUAGCAAAGUUAUUGUACCAAUUGAAAUUACAAUUUUACUCUUAGUCCCAACCUAAUUCGAUUCAAUAUCGAGACAUAUAAAUUACAUAUAAUUUUUAUAUAAAAUAAUUUAUAUAUUUAUAUUUUAAAUUUAUAUUAAAUUAGAUAUAAAUAAAAGUUAUGUCAUGUUGGAUUUCUUAUACCUCUUAUAUAUCUGUAAUUUUGAGAAAAAAAAGAAAGAAAAAGACCACUCUUCUGGAGUGGUGGACCCGGCUCGUUAGUCAUUGCUCGUAGUCGUCGAAGUCAACCUCCGAAGCGCGUAACUUCGCGUCUGAGUUAACUACAUUAUCCCGAUCACGCGCUUUCCGCGUCACAACAAUUGCAAGAAGACACAGAAGUUUUGGCCGUUCACAUACUACGUUAAGCCUUUGUCGGACAUUAAUUUCCCUGUCUUGCUGUUUAUGGUGACCAUCUACCUAUGAAUUUUUAUUUAGAAAAAUUACAAUUAUUUAUUUGUUUUUUUUUACUCUUACCCAUUUGAAAUUGACGUUUAAUUUUUUUUAUACAUGUCUGUGGGUGUAUUAUCUAUUGUGGUUUAUAACUGUUAAUAUACAAUUAGAUUAAAAAAAAUUAAAUGGUAUUACAUAUUUUAAAUUAUUAAUUAUUUAAUCUUUCUCUUUACUUAAAUAGUUGUUUUUGUAUAUCUGUAUACAUGAGAUGCAUAAUAAAUUAAUAAAAUAAUUAAGGGAAUUGUAUUGAAUGCGAAUGGAAGUAGCUACCUUCCCAUUCCCUCCAUAAAUUCACUGUUUUACGUAUCAACAGGAUUGAAUUCUUCUAUACAUGAAUAUGCAAGGAACAAAGUCACUUUCAUGUAUAGGCCAUUGGGAACUCUUCCCAGCUUCCUUGCAAAUGCAAAGGCCAUUGUAACUAUCCUGCCUGGCCUACGUUAAUCAAUUAUAGUUAAUAAUAUUAUUUCAUAAUCAUAUACUACAUCAAAGCCAGUUCUCACUUGAUCGGUGGCAAACAACCAAAGCUGUAAUGGGCAUUCAAAACUGGAAUUUGGAAAAAUGAGAAAAAUCAUGCACAUGCAGUGCCUGGUUCUCUAAUAAACCCAUGUAAUGACACAAAAAGAAAAAUAAAAGAAAAGUCAAAGUGACGAAACAAAAUGAUCAGAUUAUUGACUGACUUAGCAUGCAACGUCAGAAUCCUCCCAUAUUUCUUUCACAUUCAUUAAUUAAUUUUGUAGUUAGAGUGGACGUCUCAUGUAAAUUGCAUCACAACUUCGGUCGAUGUACGCAAAGCCUUCUCUCUUUAAAUUCAUAUCUUUGAAAAAAUAAUCUGUUUUUUGUUUGAUUGGCUUAAGAACUGUGUGUGUAUAGGACCUUAGACUUUAUAGUUUAGAAAUUUGAUGAAGAAUUUUGGAUCCCCAUAAAGGACUUAAGAACUACUAUGCUUAUUGAAUUAAUUUCCAAAGAUAUUAAUUUAAAUUAUUUUUAUAAUUUCUUUUUACAUAACCCUCUUACAUAUCAUCAUCUAAUCAUCUAUUAAUUGUCUUUUGCUUUCAAAAAUUUAAAAAGCAUGGACCAUUAGUUUAUUUGUACAGAUUAAGUUAUACACAAACAAUUUUAAAUUUUAUUAAUUAAUUCAUAAUUUUUUUAUUAUGUUCAAUUAGGCCAAUUUUAUUAAUGCAAGCAUAUUGCAAAAAAUGAUAAAUUAAUAAAUUAUUAUAGAUUUGUUUUAUUUAGCUCAUCGUUCUAUAUAAACUCUGACUCUAGUUACCCACUCACCCACCCACCUCUUUGCGUCCUUGGUGUGGAUUGAAGGAGCAGGUUAGUCUCUCUACCUCCUUUGCUUUCUUUUUGUUUUUUGGAAACAUUGAAAACCAUUUUAGACAUGAAGCUUGACAGUCCCAAGUUUCUUGAACUCCUCAUGAGCCAUAACACCCAGAUUGGGAUAUUCAGUAGGAUAUGUGCAAAAUGAAAGCAGCAUCCUUUUCUUAACGUACGUUUCCUUUCGUCAUUAUAAUUCCCAGGAAGUUACUCGAGUAGAGCAGACUUUGGAAACCAUAUCCACAUUUACUUUCUCCUUCAGAAACAAAUCCUUAGCAAGUUUCUUUGUAAAAUUUAUCUAGCUAUUUCACAAUUAGCUUCAGUAUGUUUCCAUUUCUGUUGUUAGUGCAAGUCAUAUGAUUUGGUUAUAUACAUGGUAGUUCUAGGUUAAAAGUAUUUGAAAUUAAUCAGCUUUACCUUCUUUUUUUUUUUUUUCUAAUAUAGGAUAAAUUAGUUUGUAUAUUCAGAAUCAAGUUCAAAGGAGGUUUUUUUUCUUUUACAAUUUUCUUUUACAAGUUCAAUAUUGGAUAUAUAAUCGCAGAAGGUAUUUCAAAACUCAGUCGACUUAAAACCUUGCAUUUUUCAGUUGUUAAUACAAUAGCCGGCCUUCUCAUUUUUCUUUCUUGUUAUUGACAAGUGGGAGGACAAGGCAAAUUAAAAGUCGCAAUCUCUCAAUUUUGAAAUUUUCCUUAAGCUAUUGAUAGGUCUGGGACAGCAAAAUCUACCCAAUAGAGCAGCAAGAAGAUUUUCCUUUCCUCUUACAAUUAUUUCUCCAUUCAGUGACUUCUACUUCCAGCUAUCCCCCUUGUUGAUUUUUCUUCCUUGUCUGUUUAAUUAAGUCUUAUAGUAUAGAGUGACAUGUUAAGCUAGCUACAGUUCACGUGACUCUAUUACAAUGAGCGCCAAUCAAGAACCACAAGCUUGCAUCAUCUGGUAGUUCAUCUGUCUAUUCCAUAUCAGUAUAUCUGACCAAAAACUCAAAAUUUUAAGUCUUCCUUAGAAAAUUAAACACGUCACCGUUACCUUUUUUUUCCCCUUCAUUGUCGUAGUUAUUGAUUUGUUUUAUUGUACCACUUGCUGUUUCCAUGAGAAGAGAACAAAAGAAUUGGACUACGAUGUGAUCAUGUUUUAUGCAGUCUGUUGAGAGUUGAUAUUGGAAGCACAUAAUAUCUUGUAAAUAAUUCAGAAUCUUAAGAUUUUCCUCAAUCCAAACAAUCCCUUAACCCUGCAUAAAUCUCUGAAGUUAUCAAACUAAUUUAACAGCGAGGGAAUACUGACCAUAAAGUCAUACUAAUUCAUGUCUAUAUUUUUCUCGUGCAGAUAAAAUUUUAGAAUACAAGUUGGGGAGAAUUGGCCAUGGCCAGAGAACAAUUGGGAGUGCUUAAUGCACUCGACGUUGCCAAGACUCAAUGGUACCAUUUCACAGCAAUUGUGAUUGCUGGAAUGGGUUUCUUCACAGAUGCAUACGACCUUUUUUGCAUCUCGCUGGUCACCAAAUUGCUUGGUCGCAUAUACUACACUGAUUAUGAUAAAGAUAAGCCUGGCACAUUACCUCCAAAUGUGGCGGCCGCUGUCAAUGGUGUUGCACUUUGUGGCACUUUAGCAGGCCAGCUCUUCUUUGGGUGGCUUGGUGACAAAUUGGGCAGGAAGAAAGUCUAUGGGAUAACUCUGAUUCUCAUGGUUGUUUGCUCCCUCGCCUCAGGGCUUUCCUUUGGAGGGACUCCUGAGGGUACCAUUGCAACUCUUUGUUUCUUCAGGUUCUGGCUUGGAUUCGGUAUCGGUGGUGAUUAUCCCUUAUCUGCCACAAUUAUGUCUGAAUAUGCUAACAAGAAGACUCGUGGGGCAUUUAUCGCCGCCGUGUUUGCUAUGCAAGGAUUUGGGAUUUUGGCUGGGGGUAUUGUAGGUCUUAUUGUUUCAAGUGCCUUCGAUCACAGAUUCAAGACCCCGCGAUACUCAGUUAGUCGACGUGCCUCACUUGCUCCUCAAGCUGACUAUAUUUGGCGCAUUAUCUUGAUGUUCGGUGCCUUACCUGCUGCACUCACUUAUUACUGGCGCAUGAAGAUGCCUGAAACUGCACGUUACACAGCCCUCGUUGCUAAGAAUGCAAAACAAGCCGCUGCAGAUAUGUCCAAGGUGUUGCAUGUUGAUCUUGAAGCAGAGGAGGCGAAGGUACGGAAGUUAGCUACAGAACAAUCCAAUUCAUUUGGCUUGUUCUCUAAGGAAUUCGCCAAGCGCCACGGUCUUCACUUGGUAGGAACCACGACUACCUGGUUCCUGUUGGAUAUUGCUUUCUACAGCCAAAACCUUUUCCAGAAGGAUAUCUUCAGUGCAAUCAAUUGGAUUCCUAAAGCAGCGGAAAUGAAUGCCAUUCAUGAGGUUUAUCGGAUUGCAAGGGCUCAAACACUUAUUGCACUGUGCAGUACAGUACCCGGAUAUUGGUUUACAGUGUUCUUAAUCGACUACAUGGGGAGAUUUGCCAUUCAAUUGAUGGGUUUCUUCUUCAUGACAGUGUUCAUGUUCGCACUCGCUAUCCCAUACCAUCAUUGGACCUUGAAGCCUAACAGAAUUGGUUUUGUAGUGAUCUACUCACUGACCUUUUUCUUUGCGAAUUUUGGACCCAAUGCCACAACAUUUGUCGUCCCUGCAGAGAUUUUCCCAGCAAGGCUAAGAUCAACGUGCCACGGUAUUUCUGCAGCAGCAGGAAAGGCAGGUGCUAUCGUGGGUGCAUUUGGUUUCUUAUAUGCUGCACAAAGCCAAGACAAAACCAAGACUGAUGCAGGUUACCCUCCUGGCAUUGGAGUUAAGAACUCUUUAAUUGCUCUGGGUGUUAUCAAUUUCUUUGGCAUGUUGUUUACAUUGUUGGUGCCAGAAUCAAAGGGCAAAUCCCUAGAAGAGUUGACAGGUGAGAAUGAAGAAAAUGAUGCGGAGACUCAGGACGCUGGUACUGCUAGGACUGUUCCAGUGUGAUUUUGAUCAAGGUUUCUGAUACUUGUAUUUUGGGUUUAAAAGUACUCUACUUUCUUAAAAUGCAACAAUAUUAUGUAUAUGUAAUAUAAUAUAUAUUCUAUUGGAUACUUGCUCUUAAAGGCUUUUCAUUGAAGGUGUUCAGAUUUUGCUCUGAUGUCCUAGAGCUGUAUCCUUGCACUCAUCAAUGUUUCAAUGAAAUCUGUAUUACCGACCAUAAAAAAUAGAAAAAUAUUUACUUAAAUCGAAUUUAUCUGAAAAUAUAAUGUAAUUAUACAGUGAAAUUCAAUAAAAUCUUAUAUAAUUAUAUUAUAAUUUGUGUACAUUCAGUUUAGAUAAAAAUUAUAUAAAAAUUAUUUUUAUAUAUUUAUAUUAUAAUUCAUGGACAUCCAAUUUAAAUAAAAAUUACAUUAUAUAAUAUAGAUUUAAAAGAGUUCGCAAAAACAUUCGCUUCUUGAUUUUAGUUUUUUAAUCAAUGAGCUCAUAUACUGUAAAACCUUAAAAUAUUAAUUUUUCAUUGAUAGACUAAAUAAAAAUUAUGAAUAAAAUAUAUAUAUAUAUAUAUAUAUUUUACUUACUACUAAAUAUAAAAAAAGAAUAUGCAGAAAUCUUUUCUUUGGCUCUUUUUUCAUGAGAUUUUCGACAAAAAUAAAUAAAUAAAUGAGUAGAAAUAAAUCAUGUAAAUUAAAAAAAAACAAAUACCAAGUAAUUUUAAUAACUAUAUUUAUCUACCUAUCAAAUUUAAAGUAAUCUACUAUUUUAUGACAUGAUAUUAUUAGCUUACUCCAUAAUUUUCCUAAUCAGUCUAAUCUAAUUAAUUAAUAUCUUUCCUUGGAGUAAAUUGCUAAAAUGGCAUCCUCACUCAUUGCGAUGACUCCAUAAAAUCUUGAUUAUUAUUAAUUUUUUUAUUUUGAGAGAUUAAUAAUAUUUAUUAAAAAAUCACAAUAAAAUACUAUAACUAACCCAAUUUUUUUAACUGUGCGGAUGCUAUGAAAAUAUAUUUAAUAUAUAAUAAAGUAAAUAAAUAAAUCCAAUAAUUCAUAUUAUCUAGAAAAUGGUGAAAAUUAUUUUGAGUCGUCAAUGACUAAAAUACAUAGUUUUUCCCUGUAUGUGAUUGUGUGUGUGUGAAUAUACACGAGGGAAAUUUGGGGGAGGAUGGGUGGCUAAGGCUUCCCUAGUCCCUAGUCCCUAGUCCUCCCUUCCUGCAUCCAGCCACCAACCUUGCACUGGAUCAUCAAUUGGGCUACGAGAUCAACGUCAUCCUUAUUCGCAACAGAAGCUCAAGUGAAGCUGGUGAAAUUUUCAAAAAUCACAAUGAGAUCCGCAGUGAUAGAACCUUAAGGGCCCAAAAGUAGAAGAUACGGUUGUAGUUCUAGGAAAAUGACGUUAAAUAGAGCUCAUCGUAUCUCGUUCUCGUGUAGUCUUAAGAGGAUCGGCCACAGGCCAUCCAAUCAUCCGGGGGCUCUCUGACGCCUAACGCUUCAACUUCAUGGGUAGAUAUCCAGGGUCUAAAAGCUUUAGAUUCAAAGAAACAAGCACAAAACAGACACCUCACGCUGUGCCAUAGGUUUUUCACUAACUCAUCGGUCAUGAGCAAGCGAUCAAUCCUGAUCGGGUUUCUCAACGCUGGGAAUCACAAGCGAGAAACAAAAAUCACAGCAAACAUGUAACCUUUGGGGAAUAUAAUUCAACGGUAAAACUGAAGAUUCUUUAAUAAUUAAUUAAAACAUUCAAAAUCAAUAAAAAUAUAUUUAGAAAAAAAAAUAAGAGACAUACUUCAUAUAUUUAAAUAUUACUUUCUUCCAUUUUAUAAAAAUUUUAAAAAAUAAUUUAUAUAAUAAAUUUACUAAUAUUUAAUAUACUAGUAAUCAUUAUUUCAUGAAAAACGAUAAAUUUUUAUUUUUUAUAUAUAUAUUUAAUAAGAUACAUAUCAGGAUAUUAAUAAAAAAAUUAUUAUUUAAACAAAAGAUAAAUAAUAUAUAUUUUUUAAAAUUUAAAGACCUUUUUAAAUAAAAACAAACUUAUAUUUACGCAAGAAGAUCUUAUGCUUAUGUUAUAACUCUUCGGCGGACGGUGGAUACUGCAGAGAAAUAUUAUAAUCUGUUAAGUGUUAAAUAAACCCCGCCAUUUCCCUGCGCGGCGUCCUCUUCCCUUCUUCGCGCUCUCUAUCUUAAUCGCAAACGCAUUGUUAAGUAUAACAACCACAGGCACGGCCUAUCCCCCUCUUUCUUCGUCUUCUUCACUUUUCUUUUCCCUUUCUUCUGAUUUAUUUUUCAGUACAGAAAGACAGCAAAACACUUUUCUCUGGAAUCGCACGAUUAAGGUCGGUUCUACUUUACUGUUUAUUGUUGCUGUGUGGGUGCGAUCAGGUUGUUUAUUUUGAUUUAAAUCACUAGCUUUCUUGAUGGUUCAUAUUCUUAAGAACCUUCAUGAGUUGAUUGAACACACUGUUGGCUCACCUUUCAGUCUUGAUUUCCUUUUUAACUUCUCUUUUCCCCAAUUCUCCUUUUCUUCUGGGAGGAAAUCAGGGGGCUUUGCUUUUUUCCUUUUUUCCUCUGAGGGUAUUUUAGAUAUUUUAAUAAUGAUUUAUGUAAUUCUAUCCAUCUAUAUUUACAAUUUUUUGAAGUAGAAGGGCAAUUUGAAGUUCCCUUCAAGAACUUUGUAGAACAAUAUCAGUGAUCAGAGGAUGGCAGCAAACCGAUCAUCUGGGAGAUUACUAAGUUUGUACAGUUUUCGAUAAACUUUGUAAUGCAAUUAUUAUGUUAUAAUAGGUUUGAUAUGGAUUUAUUAUUUUAUAAUAUAAUAUAACAAUAGUUAUUAAUUAUAAUAAUUUUUUAUACAAAUCUAUCAUUUUAUAAUAUAUAGUUGUUAUAUAUAUAAUAAUUAUAUUUAAUAAAGUAAAAUAAAGUAAAUAAAAAUUAUUUUAUACAACUUUUAUAUAGAAAAUAAGAUUUUAAAAUAUUUUCAAUUAAUAUAUUAAAAACUGAAAUUAUUAAAAGAAAUUUAAAAACCUUUAAAAUUUUUAUUUUACAUUGUUGUUUAAAAAGAAAACUUUAUCUUUUUUUNNNNNNNNNNNNNNNNAAAAAAAACUCUUUAACAGCUCUGUAACUUUAAACUAAAUUUAUAGUUUUCCUCAACAAACUUACUGAACAAUAGUGUUAGAGUCGAGUUUUGAAUUUUCUUCUAUUACUAAGAAAAAAAAAGAAAAGAAUAUGGUCUCAUAUUCUCUUCUGAAUUUAUACAUUGUACUUGCUGGACCCAUUAAGUUUCCCUUCUUACGUUCCUUUCCUGACUUUCUUGCUUCACCUGUCGUCAUCCAUGUCACCAUGGACGUGUGGCGUUAAUCUUUCUUUCUGUUUCUUUUAUUUUAUUAAUUUUUUACACUUCCUUGUCUGUUUUCAUGACUGAUAUUUGCUCAUCUUUGAAACUCACUUGUUCACGCAUUUAUGGAGAAAAUUUUCCCACUGUGUCCUUCUUACGAUUGCCUGAUCACUUAUGUAAGUACAUCUUGUACCUACACAUGUAUAGCAGUUCUAUUGGGCCGACUCAGCCUUUUGACUCACAAAUUGGACUAGAAGACUUGAAAACUUUUUCUAUUUAAGGUUUUCUUAUAUGUUGAUUAACCCAUCAUAUUGCUGCUGUUUCAGGGGAAAUCAUGGCAAGGGAACACCACCAUGUGCUUAAUGCACUUGAUGCGGCCAAAACACAAUGGUACCAUUUCACUGCAAUUGUGAUUGCUGGCAUGGGUUUUUUCACUGAUGCCUAUGAUCUUUUUUGUAUCUCCCUUGUCACCAAGUUGCUAGGCAGAAUCUAUUACUACAAGGAAGAUUCUACUACUCCUGGAUCUUUACCAUCAAAUGUCUCAGCUGCGGUUAAUGGUGUUGCUUUCUGUGGCACCCUUGCGGGCCAGCUCUUCUUUGGCUGGCUUGGUGAUAAAAUGGGCAGAAAACGUGUAUAUGGAAUGACAUUGAUGCUUAUGGUCAUUUGUUCGAUUGCAUCAGGCCUCUCUUUUGGCAAAAGUCCUGCUGCUGUCAUGUCCACUCUCUGUUUCUUCCGCUUCUGGCUUGGUUUUGGGAUCGGUGGUGACUACCCACUUUCUGCUACAAUCAUGUCCGAAUAUGCUAAUAAAAGAACUCGUGGAGCUUUCAUAGCUGCUGUUUUUGCCAUGCAAGGUUUCGGGAUCUUGGCUGGGGGGAUGAUUGCUAUUAUAAUUUCUGCAGCAUUUAAGGCAAAAUAUACUGCCCAACCUUAUGAAAAUGAUCCGGCUGGCUCUACGGUAGCUGAAGCUGAUUAUGUUUGGAGGAUUAUCUUGAUGUUUGGUGCAGUCCCAGCAGCAGUAACUUAUUACUGGCGAAUGAAGAUGCCUGAAACUGCGCGUUACACUGCUUUAGUCGCCAGGAAUGCCAAACAGGCUGCAUCUGACAUGGCAAAAGUGCUUCAGGUUGAUUUGGAGGCAGAAGAAAAUGAGAAAGUUGAGCAGUCGGACAAAAAUAAUUUUGGUUUGUUCUCUAAGGAAUUUGUUCGCCGCCAUGGAAUUCACUUGAUUGGAACCACUACCACUUGGUUCUUUUUGGACAUUGCAUUCUACAGCCAGAAUCUGUUCCAGAAGGAUAUCUUCAGUGCUAUUGGAUGGAUUCCUCAGGCUAAAACCAUGAAUGCCAUCGAAGAGGUUUAUAGAAUUGCUAGAGCACAAACUCUCAUUGCUCUUUGUAGCACGGUUCCUGGGUAUUGGUUCACUGUCGCAUUAAUUGAUGUAAUAGGAAGAUUUGCAAUUCAAUUGAUGGGAUUCUUCUUCAUGACAGUGUUCAUGUUUGCUUUGGCCAUACCUUACCGUCAUUGGACUCUACCAAGAAACAGAAUUGGAUUCGUUAUCAUGUAUUCAUUAACCUUCUUCUUCUCCAAUUUUGGUCCAAAUGCCACCACAUUUGUGGUGCCUGCAGAGAUUUUCCCAGCAAGGUUAAGGUCGACCUGCCAUGGUAUAUCAGCUGCAUCUGGCAAGUUAGGGGCAAUGGUGGGUGCAUUCGGCUUCUUGUAUGCUGCAGAUGGUAUCGGUGUGAGAAAUACACUAUUAAUCCUUGCCGGAAUCAACUUCUUGGGAAUGAUGUUUACUUUCUUGGUACCUGAGUCUAAGGGAAAAUCAUUAGAGGAAAUAUCCGGUGAAGCUGAGGAAGAAAAUCAAAGUGACAAAACUACAAUAGUCUAGGCAAAAUGUUCCAGGCUUCUAGCUUAACUAGGCUUUCCUUUUAUGUAAUGUGUUAGCGUGAUCUACAGGACAUAAUCAAAGUCGCAUGGUAAACUCUGUUAGCGUGAAUAUAUGAAAAGUUUCAUUCAAUUUGAGAGAGAUUUGAUAAUUGAAGGGACACUCAUCGAUUGGAUUCUUCAACUGUACAUGCGUUUGUAUCAGGCAACUAACAAAUAUGUUGCAUUGAUGAGAUUGUUUUUUUAAGCUGAUAAUAAAAUUUAACAUAAAACGAACAAACCCAACCAUGCGGAACAUGCUUCCCUUUACCCGAAAUCAAUAAAGAAAACAAUGUCUAAUAAUACUUUUGAGGACUUUCCCCUUGAGUGACAGACCAGCCUUGGGCUGAAGGCUCAUGUUGGAUUUCAUCUCUUUUUAAAGCCUUGGGCUCAUCGAGGGAAAGAGAAAAAAGCAGUAUAGUCCGCCCAAUUCAAACGUGAUGCGACCAAUACUCGUUUUGGAGACUAAUAAAUUGGGCCCUUGUCUGCCCAACAAGUCCAUGAACAAAACUCACCUCACAGUAACACUUAGUGAUUUUUUUUUUUAAUUUUUAAAAACAACCUAUUGGGAUGGUUUAGUUUACCACUAAUUUAGAUUUUGAAUUCAAAUGAUGAAAAAGUAUAAGUUUAACUUUACUCUAUUUAAAUAAAAAUACUGUUGAAAAGAUAUUGAUGCUGUAAAAUUUUACCUGUUUACUUAUAUAAUUUUAAAAUUACAUUUAUUUAUUUUUAUAGAUUUUUAUUAGAUUUUUAUUUUUAAUUUUACUCUAUUAUUUAAUAUUUUUACUUAAUUUAUAGUGUUUUUAUAAGUCAAAACUAAUUAAGUAAUGAAAGAGAUAUUUUAAAGAAAAAUAAAAAAAUGUAGGAAAUUUGAAAAAAACAAACAAAAAUAUGGGAUGGAUUCAUAUUUUUACUUCUGUCUCAUAUUUUAAUAUUUACCUCAUAUUUUUCUCUAAGCAAAAAUCUAAAACCGAAUCAUAUAGUAUAAAAUAGAGAGUAAAUUUGUAUUUUUGUAAUUUAUCCCAUUUUCACUCUUUUCCACGUACUCAACCCUAUAUUUUUAUUAAAAAUCAUAAUCCCUUAAAUUCCCAAUUACCACAUAUUAAGAGUUUCAAAGGUAUAAAUAAUCAUAACUGAAAGGUGAAAGGAUUUUUUUGUCCACUUUUAAAUACAUACACACAGAAGAAAUAAUAAAGUAUUCAAGGAAAAAUUGAAAAAUCUAAAAAUUUAUACAUCUAAAAUUUUUUUUUAUUAUUAUUUUAAUUUGUUAUUCAUGAUUAUUUUAAAAUAAUUUUGAAUAAUUUCUCAAUUAAAUUUAUUUUUUAAUUUUUCAACAUAAACAACUAAAUUUUUUUAUUUGAAACUUAAUUUAGCUUGAAUUAUUAAUUUUUUUUAAUUUAUUUGAAUCGAUACGCGUUAAUUAUUUUUUAACCUAUAUAUACGGUAAAAAUCAUGAGAAAUUUAAUAAAAAAAUUUUUAAAAAUUUAGAAACUCAUACAUUUAGAAUUUAAUUUAAUUUUUUUAUUUAUUGUUUAUAAUUAUUUUAAGAAGAUUUUUUAUAAUUUAUUAAUAGAAUUUAUUUUUUAAUUCUUGUAUAUGCGCAACUAAAUUAUUUUAAACGAAAUCUUAAUUUAGUUUGAAUUAUUGAUUUUAUAUAAUUUAUUUAAAUUAUUUUUUUUAAAAUUUAUUAUUUAAUUAUUGAUAUUAUUGUUUUUAAUACAUGCGGAAUCCCAUAAUGCUUAAUGAUCUAAUCAUGAAAUUGAUAAUGUUUUAUAAUUAAAUAGAAUUAAAUAUCAGGAGAAUAUUAAUUGAAUUGAGAUAAAAUAAUGGUAGUGUUUUAUGAAUUCUGAUUUAUUAAACUAUUUAAUUUAAAUUUUUUAAUUUUAUUUUAAAAUUUAAAAUCAUUGUUCACUAUUAUUAUCUAACUAAUAAUUAAAUUUACAAAUAUUUGAGUAGUUACUUUUAAGUAUAUGGUCAGCUUGUCAAAUAUUAAUUUGAUAGACUCACUUAUAUAUAUAUAUAUAUAUAUAUAUAUAUAUAUAUAUAAUUGAUAACAUAAGCUUCUCAAUUAUGCAGACAGAUGAAGUCUACUGGUAACUCACUUUUUCUUUUUAAAAGUUGUUGUAAAAUUUAAUAACAAUAUAUAAUUAUUAAAAGAAAAUCCCCUGAUACCCACAGGCUUCGCCAUGGCUAAGGGCAGCAUUCCGGUGUCUCAUAUUCUUCAUUCCUUUACUGACUAUACAUUUCAAACAGUUUAUUUAUAUAAAAAUUUCAGUGAUUGAAUUUUAUUCAAAAUUUCCCAAACAAUCUUAAUACGUUAAUAACAAUCCAAAAUUCGAAAUCUUCAUACAAUAUAUUUUUUGGGAGGAGAAAAAAGCACCUCGUCGUUUCCUUUAGUCCAAAAUCUUUCCUCGUCUUCUACCAAAACGAAAGCAUAGCCUCUUAAAUUAAGAGUGAACUCGGCGCAUACGGAUUCCACUCCAUCUAUAGUAUAUACAAUACACCUAUGUUCAUAUACAAGCGUAUAUAGGUAGAAGCUUCCAGCUGCUCCACUCUCUUCAUCCUCCUCCAUUUGUUAUCCAUGGAUGCCCUGCAAAAACACACACAACCACCAUUAACAUAUAUAUAUGUUCUACUAAUAAUUGCUAAUAUUUCUUUAUCAAGUUAAAAUGAAAACUGCAUUUUGAUUGCUUCAAUACAAAUGCUCAGCGCAUUCCGGCUUUUAAAUUUUACAAAAUUAUGCUCACCCAAUAUAAGUUAAUAUUAUAUACUUACUUAAUACUUGUUCUGCUGAAAACCUCUUCCAAACAUCUCUACAAAGCAUACUCCUUAGCAGAUCCUUAACCGCCGCUGACACGCCGCGGAAAGCUCUAACCGGAAACCUCAAAUUCCCCCUCAAAACCGCUUCAAAAAUCUCCACUGCGGUUUCACCAUAGAAUGGCGGAAACCCAGCUAACAUAAUAUACAACACCACGCCAGCACUCCACACGUCCACCUUCUCCCCGUACUCUCUACCGAUCAAAAUCUCCGGUGCCACGUAGUAUGGCGUCCCUACAACACCUUUUAUCAUCUCUCCAUCCAUAACCACCUCAGCGGACCCAAAAUCAGCUAGCUUCACCGAAUUUCUGGAGUCGAGCAAAAUGUUAUCCGGCUUAAUGUCGCGGUGGACAACGCCGUACUUGUGGCAGUGAGAAAUGGCACUCAUUAGCUGAAUAAAGAGGAAUCUAGCUUCGGCCUCCGGAAUAACGCCAUUGGCGAUGAUCAAAUCGUGAAGAUCCUGACCGGAGCACAAGUCCAAUACCAUGUGAAGGUGCGUGUCGUCUUCAUAGACGUCGUAAAGCUGGAUUACGUGAGGAUGAGGGGAGAGGAGGUGGAGAAUCUUGGGUUCCAUGAGGAGGCAUUGGGCGUCGAGGGAGUCACCGGAUGUAAGGCUCUUGUCGAUGGACUUGACAGCGAAGGAGUCACUGGUGGAGCGAGAAAUACAUCUAAAAACGGUUCCGAAACGUCCCCGGCCGAUCUCCUCGCAAGUUAGGUAGUCUCUGUUUAGCGCUUGGCUCAUUACUUCGUGCUUUACUUUGCUCAACUUUUUGCGUUAGUUUUCUUGCGUUGCGACGUAUUUAUGUUUGCUUGGUUUCCUUUGCUUUCAAGAAAGGGGAGAGAGAGUGGGAAUGUCUUUCCGAAUAUUCUACAACUGGGAAUUAAGCCAAUAGGAAUUAGACACGUUAUAAGAUUAAUGUCUGUAAUUUAGGCAAGGAGAGACAGGUCAGUCGUUUUAGGGAAACUAUGAGCAUCACGAUUCUUAAUUUCCGUACUACGGGAUCUACGGACUACGGCUACAGAAACACCAGAGUGGGUUACGAUUUGGAAUUUUGGAUAUGGGCGGCGCCACUUUAAUCCUGCCGUCCACCUGUCUGCCAAACAAUCUAAAAUUUAUUAUUUUAUUACUAUUAAAAUAGUAAAAUAAUUAUCAAACUUAAUAAUUUUCAAUUCGUUUUUUCUUUCUGCCAUAUAGAUUAUUUGUCACAUUUUGGAUUUGUUUUGUUGCAUAUUUUCGAUUUGCAUAUUUGUAUUAUUCGAGGGAAAGUUCCUUUUAGGUGGUGGGAGUGGAAUUGUGAAGGAGGAUAUGCUGUUCAUGACUUUUGGAAGAAGCAAAGGGUUGUGGUAGAGACGUUUGGUUGGCGAGGAAGGACACAGGGAGAAAGGAGGAUAAGCAAGCCAACUUGUUAUUCUACCUCUUUGUUAGGUUAAAAGGGUGCUUUCAUCUGGACCAUCCACCAAUCCUUUUUGUUGUCACUGUAAACAAAUAUCUCAGCUAGGCGGUAUUUGCUUUUCUAGGAAUCCAAACAAAGCAUACUAACUAUUUUCUAGGAAAAUAAAAAAGAAAGGAAAUUUGGGUGCCCUUUAUAAAUCGACUAUCUUGUAUUCUGCAAUCAACCAGCUUUCGACAAGGGUAUGCUUGCACUGAUACGAUGGAGAAAUUUGUUUAACUUGACUAUUUAAAUGUAGAAGUGAGAAUUAGAAGAGUAUAUAUUUCUAGAAACAUAAUAAUAACGGCAAGAGAAAGAGAUGGGACUGUAUGGUACUUGACAGCUAGUAUUUCAAUAUUCAAGAAUCGAAUUUACAGGUCCAAAUCAUUGACAUAUGAAAUAUAUUUCUUUUUAUCAAGAUUUCUCGCAUAAUAAUUAAUGCUUUGCUUAGACGCCAUGCAGAUAACAAAUCAUGAUCGACAUUUAUAUAAUAAGAUAUCAUGGACUCAAAUCCCAUUUAGUUCCCAAAAUACCUUGUGGGCAUUGCACCCAGGAAAUGUAUAUAACCAAAUCCAUGACAAGGCAAACCAGAUCAUAGACAACAGGAAAACAAGAGCAGAUUGAGACACAAAAGGCGCUUCCUUCAUUUACUAUAAUAAUAAUUCUAUGAGCUACAGUAGAAUACAUAUACACACACUCACAGACACAUAUAUAGCCAAUAACUAGGCCUAAUGGCUUGACCCUGUUCUCUACAACUUGAGCUGUCCAAAGAGAUGCAAUAUAUCAGCCAAAAUGCAGAAUAUUAAACAUAGAACUUGCACUCUUACAGUUCAGUCACGUCAAGUGAUACUAUUGUAAAAGUUAUAGAAUAUGUCACAAACAGCUCUCCUUCUCAGAUAAAAAGAAAUAUGGAGUCAAACCAACUUAUGAUUGAUGUAGGCAUUAAGUUCCCGCAGCAACUGCAAAUUUAUCAGAUGAAAAUUUAACGGAUUAGAAGCCAAAAGAGUGAUUUAUAAACAACAGCAAUGCUCGCCCACAGAUUCUUCUUCCAAAGAUCAGAAAAACCUUCUCAUAGAAUCUGAUAUUAAAACUUCAUGGGUCCACAGUAAUAGUUUUCUACUUUCUGUUUUAAGAAAUCACCAAAAAACUGAAAGUGGAACACCUUUUAUUUUGGGUUCGUAAAAUUGAAGAUGACCCCUACAUGUAUUUCCAGGACAUACGAAAUAAGGUCUCCGCAGGGAUUUUUCAGUGAGAGCUAGAAAAUGUCAGAGAAGGCAUUUUUCAUGAUACCAAUAUUUUUUCUCCUGCUGUGGGACAACUUCAGAUCCUGCAGGAGAAGAAUCCUCCAGAAUUCGAAAAUAGAUAAUUGGGGAAAGCAAAUUCUUUGAAUUAAAGUGCAUAUCUAAUUACAAAAACUUGUUUCUCAUUCAAAUACGCAUUGCCUAGGUCUUAUGCAAUGUGCAAAGAUAAAAACAGAUAUGUAAUUCAAGGUUAUAAAUGGAGAAAACACAUCAUAUAUGAGGCUUCAAUAAACAAAGAAAAUACAAAAUAGAACCACCAGAUGCAAAGUAAGGAAAAGGGUGAGAAAGGAAAGGAUUGAAGGGAGGAAAAUGCAGGAAAGCCAUUAAAGUUCUCCUAUCCAGGCACUUGGUUGUGAAAAGGAAGGGAAGGGAAGGAAAGGGGAGGAAUGAAGGAAUAAGUGGGUAAGGAACAGGGAGAAAAUGUGGGCCAAAGCAAUAUGAUGAAACUCAUCAUUCCUACAUUUCCUUUUCAUUUCUCUCAACUUUCGGAAAGAAAAAUUUCAGUGGUUUUCUAAACACAGUCAACUCCAAAAUAAUUCCCACCAACGAGUUCUUUUGAACUAAAAUAUGUAGCUUCUACUGCCUCACUUUUCUUUCCAUAACAAAUAAAAUUUAGGAAACCAAAUGAAACAGUUAUGGAUUUAGAAUUUGUUGCUCAUAUACUUGUUAAAGAAUUAGAAACCAGACACUUCAAACAUUUAGAAAAAAGAAAACAAAAAGUUGAAUAGCUUACCAUCUUUGCUUGAAACAUGUUCCCUGUCAAUUUGCACUUGCAAUGGCUGCCUAACAUCAGAUGAUUCAACCUCAUGCAAGGGCUGGCUUUCUGAUGAUGAACAAUACUGGGGUACAGAAAAUGAAAACCUGCUGGUAGCCUGCUUCUCAGUUGCUGAAGAUUCAGCAGUAGAGCACAAGUCUUCAUCUGUUCUGGAGGUGCCUUUUAUGCCAUUACCUUUAUGCAUUUUAUCUCGAUUUGGUCUUUCCUCUUCUAUGUACUUUGAUCUCUUCUUGUGAGCUGGAUUGCACUUAGGAUUUUGAAUUGUUGGUACUUUCUGAUCAUUAGAUGAAAUGGUUGAACAAGGAGCUUUUUCUUUUAACAUAACCUUUGGAAUCGCCAGAUUUCCAGUGCCAACAGUGUUAUCAACGACAACUUCAUUUGUUCCGCCUGAAUCUGAAGCCCUUGCAGACGCUUCCAUUUCCCACAUCUUGAAUAUGGCUCCAGUCAGACGUUCUCUAGCUAAAUCUAAUUCAAUUAUAGGUUUUGGGUAGUUUUGUCCCAGUUCCACCCCUGCAGCUUUAAGCACUAAAAGAGGUGCAUCCCAAGGAUGAUGGAUCCAUUCAGUUGGCAUUCUUGCGAGCUCAGGCAGCCACUGUCUCACAUAUUCGCCCUCUGGAUCAAAUUUUGAGCCUUGAAUCUGACUCAAAAGAAAUUCAAAAAAUAAGCAAUAAAAAGAGGGGCUCAGAAUUGUUCUCUUAAUCAAUACAAGAAAAAUAGCCAAUUCCAACGCUUGAAAUGAUGUCCAUUUAAGAUUAUAGGAAACGAGCUUGUAUUGAAACAUUACAAUAUUAUUGUUCAUCUAGUUGACUUUAAAUUUUACAGCUCUCAUAUCUUGGAGAGUAUCAGAAUUUGUUGAUUUAUAACAGCAUUUAAAAAUAUCAUAUCACAUAAGAGAGUUGGAGAUCAAAGAAUUAAAAAAUGUUGUCAGAAGCAUAAGAAGUCAAUCAAAUCAUAUGAAAUAAGAUAGGUUUUAGUUAUAUAACUUCAUUAUGAUAAUGACUAUACUUUUACACAGUAACAAGAUAGAAGUAGAACUUGUGUUUCUAUUUUAAUCUGUGGCUAAGCCACAACCUAAUUGUCUCAGAAAAAUGAAACAGAAGAAAAUAUGUUAGACAAAAACAAUAAGCAUAAACGCACAUCAUAGGUGAAAGACUAUAUAUUUCAUUUUGCUACUACCUAUGAAUAAAUAGUUGCAUGAAGUCAUCCAAAGGUUAGCCCGUUUCUAGGUAAUUUAUACAAACGGUACACCAACUUCGGCAGAGUUGUAUUGUAAUAGUAAAGUACAUAAACUCCAUUUUAUAAUAUAAUACCCCUUCAACUUCUAUUUAAGUAACAUAAAACCUCAUUUCAAGGUUACUUUGCUGAUGUGGUACUUGUUUAAUUAAAAAUAUACAUAUUUUCUCUCUAAUUUCUAAUAUUUAAUUAAUUUUUUAAUAUUUUAAACAAAACCAAACAAAUUAUUUGAUUAUUUAAAACAACUUAAAAAAUUAAUUAAAUAAAAAACAUGAGAGAGAAAAUAUAUACAUAACUAGAAACUUGGUAUUAUAGGUGAAAUGGGGUUUUAUGUUAAAUAAAAGUUGAAGGGAUUUUAUAUUACAAAAUGAAGUUUAUAUAUUUUACUAUUAUUAUCCUUGUGUACCGUCUAUGUAAAUUACCCCCAUUUCUAUUAUGGAGGUCAAAGAGCCCCACAAAAUUCAGAUGCAAAUGCUUUAAUAAGGAAGGAAUCACAGCAUACCUCUGGGCUAUCCAAACGUUGAAGCUCAUGGCCAUCAGGUAAGCUUCCAGAAAUGUAUUGCCAACCAAGUAUAUCACUUUCCAAGUCUGCAUCCAAAAGUGUGUCCCAAAAAUACUUCAUCCCCCAUCUCCAUGGGAGAAGCAGAACUUUUACAGCAAAACUUGAAACAAUCACUCUGAUUCUAUUAUGUAUCCAACCAGUUGCCCAAAGCUCACGCAUUCCUGCAUCAACUAGGGGAUAACCGGUUCGUCCCUGUCUCCAAGCCUUAAAAUUGCCCUGGUUGACAUCCCAGGGAAAAUACUUUAAGUUGCUCAGCAACGAUCUCUCAUGAGUGAAAGGAAAGUUAAAACAAAGGUAUCGGGAAUAUUCCCUAAGCCCAAUGGAUCUAAGAAACAGAGUCACGCUUUCUUUCCCUAUUGAGUUCUCUUCUUUCACCCACAGCAACUGUUUUAUUCGCACACAUUGGAAAACUUUCCUUAUGCUCAGUUCUCCAAAAUGAAGAUAUGGAGACAAAAGUGAGCUGGAGUUUGCCCCAACCUUUAGCCUAUUCUUUGAAUAAUCAAUUAGAUGCUGUUCAACAAAUUCAGUCAGUGCCUUAUCAGCAUUGCUCCAACCUGGGGACCAUCCCCUUCCUAGUAAGGAAUUGCUAGAUUUUUCUGUUUCAUCUUCAAGACCCAAUUCCUCAAUUGAGCAUUUCUCAAAUUUUCCUGUCAGUGAGGGAGGGGAGAAACAUUAAAAUCAAGGGAAAAAAAGAAAGACAAACUCUUUAAUAAUUCAUCUCCUCCCCUCAUAGCUAACAAAUGUGCACAGACACAAAGGCUGUGGUGAUGUUGCAUCAUAUCAACAAUUGACAGUUGUUAUCAGAGAACAAAAUUAAUAAUUACAAAUAUCAUUGAAAUAUUACCUGGAGCUGGCAGUAGUCGCCAUGGAGGAAGAUGUGAAACAGGUUCCAUUUGCAUGUGCAGGCUCUUGUCCCAAAACGAGUCAAAUCUCACAAAAGCAUUUCCACUUUCAUCAUAUAUUUCCCACGGUUCACACAGCAAGUCCCCAUUAUAGCUUUGCACAGUAAUGCCAAGCUCCAGCAGUUUUUCUUUGAUGUUAUGAUCUCGAACAAGUGAUACUGGAUCUGGGAAGAGGAAUAAAACAUAAUAAUCAACAAUCAAACAAAUACCUAAGUGAACAGUACUAAAUACCAACAUUCAUAAAGCACCAAGUCAAUACUUCAAGGCCAAAAUAUAGCUGAUUCUACACUAACUACAGAUUUUUUUUUUUUUUUGGUUAACUAACUACAGAUUAUUUGGUAAAAUAUAUUAGCAUUUUUCCUUCACAUUAGCCUGUGAAUGAUUAAUUCCUGAACCAGUGAUAAGGAAAGAAAAGCCUCUAGCCCUUUAGGUAUUGUGCUUGCAGAUUCUCUGAAAAUGUUGGUAUUAACUAUUAAAAUUAGGGAAAUCAUUUAGUUUCCUUUUAUACAAUCUUUGCUGAUUAACCUUCUUCUGCAUGCAACAACUUCAACAAAAACAUCAUAACAUAUUAACAUCAACAUUUACAAUCCUCUUAAGGAAACUGCAAAGGGACUUAAGCAGCAUAAUUAUCAACGCCCAUAAUCUACUUAAGAACUGACAGGGGUUUUAACUUAGCAAAACAAAUAAAAUAAAAGGAAGAAUAGAUAAAACUGCAAAAGGAAUUGUAAAUGCAAUUCAAUGAAAAGCACUAGUGCCCAACAAAUAUUAAGCUAUAGAUUCACAAUUCACCAAGAAAUUUAUUAUAAGAUAUCACUUAAGAUUCCUCAUCAUCCAACCAAGCAAACCUUGGAAUAUAACUGUCAGUACCAAAAAGAAAUGCUUCUAGUAAAGCAAAAAGAGGGCAUACCAUAGAGAUGAUUGAAUACCACUCUUGUUGCUCCAACGGCAUUUAUGCAAUCCAAAAGAGCAGAGAGAGUACUAUGAGUUUUGAUCAAUAUGAGUUCAGCCCCAAGAGAUUUCAGUGACUGUCCAAAGUGGGCAAGAGACUGCUUCAGCCACCACCUUGAUACUCGACCUGGGUAGAAUUGUCCUUCUUCUUGAGGACACCAUAUGAAGACAGGAAAUACACAACCAUCCCUGGCUGCAGUAGCUAAUGCAGGAUUGUCCUCAAUUCUAAGGUCCCUCCUAAACCAAACAAUGGUCUUGUUGCUGCCCAUAUUGGAAUAACUCAGAUCUGAGGAUCAGACUAAAAUUCAAACUUAUGAUGGUUGCACUUGUUCCUCCACAUCUUACCUUCAAUUUAGAACUAAAAACAUCUGAAAGGUUUCUUGCUGAUCACAGUGCUCAAUCAAACAAAUAUAUUCUAUUCAGUUUCAUGAACCAACUCAGUAUCAACAAACAAGGGACCCAUGUAGCAGAGAACCUGCGAAUAUCUAGAAUGGCAACGGGUAGCUCCCGUCCAAGACAACCGGACCCUAAAUUAACAAUACCAGCACAGUAAAUAAUUAGUAAAAUUUGGCUGUUACUCACAACUAGCCAAACAGCAAAGCUUACUAGAAUUCAGCUUCUACUCUACUCCCUUGUAUCAAACAAUACCCAAAUUACCAAAUCCUACAAGUUGCCGCUUAAAGUAAUAAAAUAUUGAAAACACUUUUAUAUACACUCCAAAAGAGAAAAGGCAAACUGUUCAUGUACAUUCUUGAUACGCCUAGAGUUUGAUAAACCAACUUUAAUUCAGCUCAAUAAACACAAAGAGAAAAACAUGAUAUAUCAUGCGAAUAUAAGAAUACAGAUCUGGGACAGGCACCAAAAUGAUUCCUUAUAAUUUAGAUUUAAGAAUAAUAUCCACAAUCGAAAGGAGAUGAGAACCCAUAAAGAAAUCAAACAGCUAAAAAACAGAAACGAUCACAAAAAGUAAAGGAUCCCAACUGUACCCAGUUCUUGUUUGAGGAUGAUUAUUGAAGAAGAUAAAUUAUUUACCCGCCCAGUAAAGGAAAUAGCCGACUAGGUGCCAAUCCCGUAGCAGUUGACGGGCAUAGAUAUCGGUUAAAAUGAUCCAUUGUACCGUAAUAGAAUUAGUAGUGCAGUGGAAAAAUUGGGCAUUGGAUUGGAGUUGGAAUUGUCUUCAUGUGUGAAUGAGUGGCGAAUUGAUGUAAUUAAGAUGAAGAUCACGUGGGCUAUGGUGAUAUUGAUGGUGGUGGUGGGCCUUAUCUUGUUUGCUUUGUGGAUCCAUCAGGUAAAAAUAGAAAAGAAACAAGAUGAAAUCGGGAUAAGGGCCUCUAUCUCUCACGGCAUGAUGCGUAUCCCGUCUUGAGACUGCUCCCAUUAUUAUACUUUUUCCAGAGACUUCGCUCUGGCUGCUUCUUUAGCUUUCCCAGUUUGGGGAAACUCCAACAUAGACAUCCAUUAAGCAUAUUCUUUGAUGCCAAUGCAAUUUCCGACUUGGAUCAUGUAAAAGUUUCCCAGGUUCGCCUUAUACCAAAAAUUAAAACUUCUCAUAAUUAGAGUUAUCAGACUUCAACGAUUUAUUCCCCAUCCUCCUCCUAAUUCGUUUAUAUUGCGCUUCCUUAUUCUCUAACCCUCAUUGUUUUUUUUUAUUGAAAUGGAAAUUAAAAAUUGAGUACUGCACUUCCUUAUUCUCUAACUCUCAUUGUUUUUCUUAAUGAAAAUUAAAAAUUAAAAAAAUAAAAUCUGAUACCUUUCAAAUAUACUUAUUAUCAAAUAUAUUUAUUAUCAAAUGUUAAAUAUCAAAUUAUAUCUGAAAAUGCCUUAUUCAUUACUUAUUAUUUUGUUUAUAACAAUAGGCACUAAUUAAAAAUUAAUUUAAUUGAUCAAGAUCCAUGCAAAAAAUAUCUGCGAGAUUUGCAUCCAACAGUCGCUACCUUUAUCUAGAAUCCAGUAUUUUAUCUGGUCACUUUCUAAACAAAAUGACAAAAUAAUCCAGGAUUCAAUCAUCUAUUCAUCUAUGCUCGAAAGCAACACUUGAUAUCAAAGUAUAACAGUACUUUGAAGAUUAAAAAUUAAUAUGCAAAACCAUGUCCAAUUAUCAACUGAGAAGCAUCAUGGCAAUAAGGAGCUCAAAUUUGUCCAUGCCCAAGAACUCCCGAUCAGCCUUCUCAGACGUCAAUUAUUUAGUACAAUUAAGAUUUAUGUAUUUGUGCCUGAGACACAUGACACGUAAUUAUCAACUAACUGAAGUAACUAGCAAUAUACGAAUUUCCUCCAGGUUGCACGUGUAACUCCUGAAGAUUUGGAACACUUAGAUCCACAGUGAGCGCUCAGUGUGCACGGUCUCUGAGUACCUCGAGAUCCAUCUCAGUUGGAUCAGUUGCCUGGAUUGCAUAAUGGAUGCCUUCCAGUUCUCUUCUGAACCUGUCCUUCGAAGUUGCAUAAAGCAUUUUUGCACGAAUGCGAGAAACAGCAGGAGACCUAAAAGAAGACAGGAUUUCAAAUAUAGUACAUAAUUCCGAAUUUGGGAUAUAGCAGUAACAGAGAAAUACAAGCCUUUGUUUGGUAUGAUCUAUUUUAUAAGAAAAGAAUUCAAAUAAAUUCUUAUAAAAUAAUGCAAGAUUUCAACUUAUUUUAAAAUGAAAGUUUUUUAAAUUAAAAAAUAAAUAAAUUCUUUUAUUGCAAAUAAGAGAAUUGAUAAAAAAAGAAAUCAAUUGAAUUAAAUUCCUGCGAACUCCUUCAUUCCAACUAGAGGGUAGAAGAUGUCAGUUAGUCCACUUUAUGAACCCAUAGACCAAUAUAAAUUUCCUUGCAGAUAAACUUUUACAUUUAACUCUGUCGACUAUCCAAUGCAGCAAAACAACCAGGUGUUUGACUCGCUCUCCUCAAAUAGGGGACUGAAAACACGAAAAUACAUUAAGCAUGUGAUGCAACCAUAAGCAGAUAAAAUACAAUACUGAGACUAAUCUUUCCCUUUCCCCCCUCAUACAAUCAGAGGCAACAUGCACAUGACCCCAAAAGAAAGAUCCCAAAGAAGCAUUCCCCAUUGACAUGGCAUUCUUUUGCUGAAUUCUUAGAGGACCAUUCAUGGAUACUCUGUUCUUGACAAAAAAUGUUGGAUAAGGGUUCAAACCUUAGCAAUCCCAUUCCUUAUAAGAAUUUCCAACGUAUCAACAGAAAAUAAUUGAAAAAACAAAAAAUUCUUGUUUUAGACUACAGCGGACAGCCCAUCCCUCCGCCUAGUGGACCAUAUGGUUUAAUGGCCUAGCCCUAGAAAAAGUUACCCAAAAGCUGGAAAGAGCCCAAACCUAGAAACAUCCCCCAAAACGCAAAAGUAUGAAGUACCAAAAGUAGACACAAGAUGGCAUCGCUGUUUGCCACUUCAACAAAAUGACACCAAGAUGCUCAGAGAAAAAGAGCAUCAACAGUUACUUGGCUAGUAACAAGGAUAACUAUAAAGAAACAAGGGAUUUGAAUGAGAAUCACAGCACUAAGCUUCAGCAGAGAAUUUGGGGGAAGAUUUCAAGCAUUCUAUGAACAUGUGCAUACACCAUAAAACUAAAUUUGCAACACUCCCACAUAAAGCAGAUAAAACCAGAACUAUAACUGUUGUAUUCUAAUGAAACAGCGUCCAUUUCAAGAAAGAAAAUCACCAUGCAAUGAAGAAGAUCUUGCUCUUCUGGCAGUUCUCAGAAGUCACAAAAUCAAAGUCGUAGACAGCAUAUCGGCAAUCAUUCUCAGGCAAGGAAGCAGUAAAGUCAUCAUAACUCUCAGCUGGCCCUCCAGUCUUCUCAACCACAACCUCUUUUUUCUUCUCAUCAAUCUUAAAGAUAACAUAACGGUGGACCUUCUUUCUCUGCAGUUCUAGAAAUGUCGCUUUGCUGUGCUCAGCAACGCCCAUGCCAGAAGAAGCAUUUGCCUGUCAAGGAAAAUAAAAAAACUACUGUUAAUAGAUGCACUAACCAACCCACUGACCAAAACAAGCUCCAGGGACUUUACGUCCACUCCUGCGUCUCAGAAUGGAGGAUUUACCGCUAGUCAUUGGCAUCAAAUUAUGAUUUACUCCAUUAUGAUAUUUGUUCUUCAAAAAGACAAACAACGGUGCACAAAUUGCAAAUGAUAUAUGUUAAAUAUUGAAUACAUACAAACAUACAUGCAUGUAAGCACAUCAAUCCAGGCUGUACCAAGGUAAAGGAAUUCUAUUGAUAAGAUGCACAUUUAGGACCUUGAACUUUUUAUGGAGGUCCCAUAUAUUUAAUUGGUCAUUUUGCAUUUCUUUUUUAUAUACAAUGGAUACUUAGAUCUCUAGACUUGUUUAUCAUUUUUUACAUGGUAACUUUUUUUAACAGACUCAGUAGUAAAAUUUAAAUUGACAACACAUUUAAAAAAAGUAAAGAAAAGAAAAGGAAAAAUGCAUCUUAUUGGGUCCCCAUAGUUUUAGGUAGUCGCUCUGCGUGCCAUUUUCUUUAAAGUCCUUGAACUUUGAAGAUCCACAUCAAAGGCUUUGAAGAUCUCAACAAAUUCGAAAGCGAGAAAGAGGGGAACCCAACCCAAAUUGCCUAUUAUAGAGAGGUAAGAACCAGAAACUCCACAAUUGCCAUUCCCCCUCUCCAACCAUCAUGUGACAGCAUCCUAAGGAGUUGCCUAAGUAUCACCAGAAAUAGAAAUGUGGAACAUAUUGGCUAUAAUUCACAGAGAGAUGACUCAGCUUCGAUUCAAAGAGGGAAGGCUCGAGUACACGGACUCUGAGAAAAAAAUUGAAAGUUCAGGGACUAAAAGAUUGUUUUGCCAAGCCUAAAUGUAUCCACGUCCUAUGAGUUUGUGAUAAAAUGUAAACCUCUACUUGCAAUUCUUUCGUUGCAUUUCUUAGAUGGUAUAUGUGCCUGAAAACCUAAUACAUCAUUUCAAGAACCAACCAAACUGUGGAUACUAGAAUUCAUUAUUCCAGUUACAAUCCAUAGGGCAUUUAUGUAAAUUAUGAAGAGAAGAGCUAUUACAAAGGGUAAUGUUAUAAUCAAUUUGCAUCACUAAGCCAGCAUACAAUUCUAUCCAUUACCAUUAACUAGAUAUAUCAAUUACUCAAAUUGCAAGUUAUCAUUUACAGUACAAUCACCUGAAAGGAAUUAAAAUAAGUUAAAAAAAUUUCGGAUUCUCUCUUCAAUCAUGACUCCAAAUAUCCAAAAAUCCAGCACACAAAUUAACGAAUAACAUACUGAAAAAUGAAAAUAAGGGAGGAUAAAACAUCAAUCAAGCAAACACGUAUUUUGUCUAAAUAAUUAAAUUAAAACUUAUGUAAAUGCUUAGAGAUGACAAAUACUGCACCAAACGAACUAACAGAUCAUAUUCAACAUGACAAGACUUGAUAAAAUUACAUAUAUAAAAAAAACAGCAUCAAAUUCAGAUCUUAACAAAGUGAGACAUGGAGAGAAAAGGAAAGGCUUACCCCUCUGAAAGCCAUAGCCGCUAAGAAAAAGAAAGAGUUCCUAAGGAGCGCAAAACAGUAGAGAGUUAAGAGAAGAAAUAGCCUGGAGAAGAAGAGGAAAUUGGGGAAAAAAAAAAAAAGAGCCACCAAAGAAAAUAAAAUAAAAUAAGUAUAAUAUAGAGAGAAUAUAUUCUGUGUGUUUUUGAGCGAGGCAAGGAACAGAAGAAAGGGAAGGAAACGAAGACAAUAGCAUUAGUAUGAGCAGAAAGAAAAGACGAGCGUCGCGUCUAUUGACAAGGAGUGCCAGAAUGAUCAAGUGAGUCACGGUAGUUUAGGUCUGCUGACAGUAGCCGUGGUUCCUUACGGUUGAUUUGCCAAAGGGAUCAUCAGCGUUCCACGUGUAUGGUUUGAACUUUUAACUGUCAUCUUUUAUUAGACCCUCCUCCAAUCCUCGUUGAUUCUCACUUAGGGCUCAACUAUAACCGGGCCUUGCAUAUCAUAACUUGAGUCCAUUUUUUUUAUAAGUUUUAGUUAUUUUUUCUUUUAUAAGUUAAAAUUUUUAGUAUUUUUAUAAAUAUUUUGAUGAUACAAAGUAAUUAUUAUUAAAUUAAUUAAUAAAGUUUUAUUACCCACAUAUAAUUUUUUUAUAUUACUUGUAAAAUAUAUAUAUAUUCAUUAAUAAUGCUAAAAGUUUAAUACUUUUACAAAUAUGAUGAAAUAUUCAAAUUCUAAUUUGACAAUUUGAUUAUAGAAAUUGGGUGUUAGAAACUCUUGAUCGGGGGGAAGACCUUUAAUUUGUUUAUAUAAUGGGCCCGUUUAUAUUAUUGGGUUUGUCUAAGCGAAGGCCCUAAUCAACGCUCGACGGAAGGUUAAUUUUUCACGAACUAUAUAACUAAUCACUCUAUGCAUCAUUGAGUUAAGCCUUUAUUUGGUAUGUAUUUCUUUUUUUUAAAAAAUAAAUUUUAUUAAUAAAAUUUAAUUCAUUUCUAUUUAUAAAAUAAUUAAUCUGUUUGAAAUCAAUUUAAAUAUAAUAAAAUUUAAUUCAACUCUUUUAUAUUAAUUAAAUUAAUAAUAAAUUUAAUUUAAUUUAAUUUAUUUAUGAUUCUUAUUAUUUUUAAACUAAAUAUAAAUAUUUAUUUUUAUAAAUAAUAAUUAUUUUUUAUCAUAAUUAUUAAAAAAAUAUUAUUAUUAUUUUUAUAACAUUUAAAAUCAGAAUUUCACAUUUUUUUACAAUUAAAAAUAUAAAAAAUAUUUUUUAAAAUUAAUAAAAUAAUAUAAUAAAUUUCUUAAUAAUAAUUAUAAAUAGUCAAUAUAAAGAGUAAUUAUUAAUUAAAAAUAAAAAAUAAAUUUAAAAUUAAAAUAAAUAAAUAAAAUUAAAAAAGUUCCAAUGAUUAAUUAAAUAAUUUUAAUAUAAAUUAUUUUAAGUGAAAUUAUUUUUUGUAAAAUUCUAAUAAUUUUUAAAAAAUUAUUUUUAAUUCAAAAUCAAUUCUAAUCAGAACUAUUGAUUUUGAUUUUACUAAAUAUAAAAUUUUUGGGAAAAUGUAUUUUUUAAAAAUUAUUUUGAAAUUAAACAUUGGGUACUGAAUUAUUACAUUUAUCAAUCCGGGCCAAACGAGAAGAUUCAAAUUAAGUUAUGCAUUAUUAAUGGGCUAGUUAUCCAUAUGGGAACUUUGAAGAUGUUAAUACGCGUGUGUAUAUAUAUAUAUAUAAAGUAGACCCAUCAAAAUCUGUGAUAUUAUGUAUAUGUGGUUCGAGAAAAGCAAGUGAAUCUCUCCGCCAGAUCCAAUCAGGCUAUAGAAAGCCUAAUCUAUAGAGCAUAAAAAUUAGAUUUUUAAUUCUCUUUAUAUUUUUAUAACUCAAACCGGCGUCUCUAAUACUCAUAUUAUCCAUAAAAAGUUUAUAUAAAGAUUAUUGAUUUUUAUAAAAACCAUGUAAACUAGAUACGACCUGGAUGAGACAUUGAUUUUCUACACAAUGAACAAUCUUCUUAAUCUCUUUCAAACUAUUAAACUAAUGUAAUGUACACACCAGAUAAAAUAUAUGCAAAACAGCUAUGCAUCAAUUAAUCUAUUGUCAGCUAUUUGAUAAACCAACCCUAACAUGUUACCAUUUAAUUUAAUGAUAUAUAAAGUAAGAAAUUAAGUAUAAAUAUCCCUGAAUUAACUCUUUGCAGAAAGAGGACACUCCUGGGACCAAAGCUCUCCAAAAAUAAAUCGCUCACUCUUCUAGACACCAAAUCCCAAAAAAGUAAAUCUUUCUCUUAUAUAUUCACAAGAAAAACUCUAAGGAUGGAAGUCCUUUGAAAAUUUUUAGCCAAUACAUUAUUAUUUAAUUUUUUUUAUAUUAUUAAAUUUCAUAUAAUUUUUAAUUUAAUUUGUGCAUCUCAAAAUUUCUUUAAAAUAUCCCCAAUAAAAAUUUAGCGCCUUUUUAUUUUUUUUUUCAAAAUUAAAUAUAUAAAGACCUAGCAAAAUUAUUUUCGAAUCAAUAGUAAAUCUAUUUAUUUGAACCGCUGUGUAAAUGUCCACUCCAAAAUCAUCCGCUAAAAAUCAGUUGAUCGAUAUUUGAGUCACGAGAACAAUUAUCUCAAUAAUUAAUAGACAAAAUUCAGAGCAUAAAAUAGUAAUUAAAAAAAUAUGAAAGCGACUAGCAAGAUACAAUAAACUUUUAAGAUAUGCACCAAAUGAAAUUGAUAAUAUAAAAUUAAUUAAUUCCAUAAGGGAUGACUACAAGCAACUUCAGUGGACCCCAAAAAGGAAAAAAAACAAAAGAAAAAAAAAAAGAGACUUGGUGGACUAACUAUCAUAUGUAUGGAUGAUAUAAUUAUGAAAAUAAGGGUGACAAUAUUAAUUAAGGAUCCAUUAAAUCUUUUAAUUUGUGAUUUGUCUUCUUAAUCAGGAUGUGGAAAUUAUUGAAUAAGAGUAAUCCAUUUUCAAAAUGUAACAUCAAAUAGUUCUGUGUCAUUUCAAUCAAUCAAAAUACCAAUUUAAACUUAUACAUUAAAGCUCAUACUGUUGCAAACAAAUAAUAAUAAUAAUAAUAAUAAUAAUAAUAAAAGAAAUAUUGAGAAAGGCAAAAAAGUCACCCAAUUGAGUGAUUGACCUUAUGAGAAAAUGUUAAAGAGAAAAGCAUGCACACAAGUGCAAUUGAUGAAGAAAAAAUUAGCCCACGAAAUUGACUUUGACAAAAAGGAACACAUCAAAUUCUAAACUUCAUUCAUGCAUUGAACGUUAAUUUGAACUCAUCUUCAUUAACGGCUAACUAAGAGCUAUCUCCAUUUUUUUUCUAUUUUUUAAUCUCAAUACAUUGCAUUUAAAAUUAAAAUUAAAAUUGAAAUAAAACAGCUAUCUAUACAGGAAUAUAAGUUAUAUAUAUUCUUUAUUUUUUUAUGAGUGAAAAUAAAGUUACGUAUGUCAUUUCUUUUUUCUUUUUUUUUCUUUUGGAGGACUAAUAAUAACUAAAGUUUCAGCAGCCAUAACCCUAUACUAAUGAUUUCAUAGCUACCAAAAGGAUAAAAAUAAGGCCAUGUAACAAAGCACUUGCGAGUAAAAGCCGCAGCCAUGUAAUUCAGGCGGAAGACAGUCAACAAUGGCUUCAUUUAUUUCUCCUUUUCCUUUUUUUUUUUUUAAUUAAAAAAGAAAAAAAGGAAAUAGUCGCUCUCUCUUCUGUUAUUAUAUAUCCAGUACUAAGGCAUGGUGGGAACACAUGCUUCAGCUCUCUCUCUCUAUAUUUUUUAUAUAUAUACUGAGAAAUAAUGAUAACCCGGCGCCACUGCCACGCAUAAUUAAUUCCAACUUUCAAUUGUUUAAUCCAACUUGUUUUAUAUUUACCAAAUAUUUUUAUAAAAUUAAUGGAUGAAUUAUUUAAUGUAAAUUUAUUAAAGAAAAGAGUUCCAGGACCAGUACGGGUUUUGUCUUGAAGCUGUGUAGUCUUUUUUAAAUUUAAAAAAUAUGUUUAAAAAAAUCAAUUCUGCUCAAAUCUGAGAGAAACUAGGGGAUCUAGGCUACCAAAAAAAAAAAGUGCAUAAUGGAUCCAGGUCUUAUUUUAUGAAUUAUACGAGUCCAUGAAAAAGACACAAAUCACAAUGUGACAAGAUUUUGCAGUUGGAUAGUUUAAAAGUAUGAAGUAAUCUUACCUUUAUUUCGCAUGAUAUAUUUUGUAAAAAAAUGGAUUUUUUUAAAAAAUUUUAAUAAUAAAAUUAAAUUAUUUUGAAAUUUUUUAUUCAAAUGGAGAGUUAAACUAUAUCUUAAUUGAUCUUAAUCCUAAAUCUUAAGAUUUACACAGCUCAUAUAAAUAAGGAAGUAAGUUAAUUAAAAAAAAAAAAUCAUCACGUGCUUCUUUUGUCCAUAUAUAUGUAUUUAUGUAUAAACUUAUUUUCAGCUAGCGUAUAUAUGUGUGUCUAAUCAUUAAAAUUUUAACACAUUCAUCAACCCAACCAAAUCCGAAAUGAUUAUAUUUAAAUUAAAUAGAAUGAUUCUGAUUUAGAAUUAUAAUCCUAUUGUAUAUUAAUUAAUGGUAUGAGUAUCCAAUGGAAGGAAGCCAAUAUGGCAGCCAUGUGGUAUGUUGCAGAACUACAGGAUGAAGUGGACCCAUAUUUUCGGAAAAUUAUAAAAUAUUUUCAUAAAGCUAAAAUUUUUUUUUUUAUUUUAUAUAUUUUUUAUAUGUGAUUUUUUUAAUUAAUAAAAAUACCUAGAUAAGAGAAUAAUAUGUAAACUAAUUUUUAAAAGAAUUUCAAAGGUUAAAGGUCUUUAUAUCGAGCUCGUAUGAACAUUUUGAUUAAAAGAAAAAUUGUAAGUAGGUUUGGUAUAUUAAAAAGGAGUUGGCAAUUUGAUUAUUAGUGGUUUGAAAAUUCUAAGACAGUAUUUCAAAGCAAGAACAGAUUUUAUUUUAAUUUAGUAAGAAAAAAUAUAUGCAUGUAUCCACUUGCAAAAUUUUAUUCCUUAGAUUUUAGAACAGUCAAAUCCACGUGCGCUCACUCCCCCACAACUUGUGUUGCCGUUUGGCCCUCUCUCAUUGGCGAAUCACUUCUUUGACCUUAUUGAGUCAUUGACCGAGUUGAAGCUUACCACUCUAUUUCAUUUAUCCAAAAAAUAAUUAAUUUAGUUCUAUGUUACUAUAAGAUAACUCAUUAACUACUUUUAAUUUUUUUUAAAAAUAUAUUCAAAAUAUCUUAUAUCUUUAAAAGUAUAUUAACUAAUUUUUUUUAUAUUAUAAUAAUUAAAUUACAUUUUUUAUUUUUUAAUUGAUUCACGGAGAGAGAUAUAUAUAAUGAAAUUUACUUAUUAAAUGUAUUAGCUUCGUAAUGGGUUGGGUCCGGUAAGGAUUUUUCACAUUUUCAAUUUGAGUAUUUGCUAUUUUUAAUUAUUUUAAAAUUCUUAAGAAUUUCAAUUAGUAAAUUUAAACUCUGUUGAUCUCCUGCAAUAAGAGAGUAAGAGACAAAUAAACUACCAAAACCAACGGUAAAUAAUUGAGGAAUAUCAUACGUUAAGUUGAGAUAACGAAAAUGAAGUUAGAACAUUUAAUUUGAAAUCGUAAUACAUAAUAAAUAAAAAAGUCUUAAUAGUACAAAAAAAUAUAUUUUUCAUUUUAUUAUAAUUAUAUUUUAUAUUUUUUUAUCAAUUAAAUUUUGAUCAUUAUAUACUAUUAUUUAUAUGUCAUAUCGGUAAAUUUCAAGAUAAAUUUGAUAGUAAUUUAAAAUUUAAAAGUAAAAUUGUAAUAAAAUUAAAAUUAUAAAAUUUUUUUAUAAUUAUUUAUUUUAUUAAUAAUUUUUUUAGAACAUGGAUAGAAACUGAAUUUAUAAUUUCAGAUAAAUUAUAUAUUUUUCUUAAAUAUUUAACCAAGUCAGAUCAGAUAAUCAAAUAUUUAAUUUAUAUUUUAUUAAUUUUUUUUUAAAAUUCACUUAAAUAUUAAUAUAAUUUUAAGAAAUGGUGUAUUAAUAUUAUAUUUGAAAAUCAAAAGAAUAAUUUAAAAAAUAUUCUAAAAUAUUAUUUUAUUAUUUUUAAUAUUUUUAAAUUAAAUUAUAUUAAAUAUUAUAUUAAAUUAUUUUUUAAUAUUUCAUGAUUAAUAUAUUUAAUAAGAUUAUUUUUACAUAAUUUUAAAAUAGAAAGUAUAUUAGACAAAUUAAAAAAAAUAGAUUGAUAAUGAUUUUAAUCAAACUAAGAGUAAAAUAAAUUAUGAUUAUAAAAUUAUUAAUAAAAAUAAAAAAAAAUUAAUAAUAAUAUAAAUAGUAAUUUUUAAAUAUAUUUAUAACUUGAUAAUUUUAUAAAUUUCUAAUUAUACAAAGUAUCAAUUGAGUUCAUUUAGUUAAAUAUUACAAAAAUAGAGUAUAAUUAAUAAAAAAGUAAAAGUAUAGAAUGAAAUUAUAAUAUAAAUAAAAUAUAAGAUUUUUUGGUGAUUAAUUUUAAAUUUUGCUGAUAUGACGUGGUAACAUGGUGUUAAUUUGUUGAAUUGCAGGAUAAUUUCAUUAAUUUUUUAAUAAUAUAAAUAAUAAUUAAUUAAUAAAAAAAAUAAUUAUAAUAAAAUUAAAAAUAUAAAAUAUUUUAACAACUAAAAAUAUAAAGUAAAAUUACAAUAAAAUUUUUUUAAAUAAUUAAUUCUAAAUUUUACUUACAAAUCGUGAUCAUGUGGUAUUGACGUAUUGAAUUAUAUGAUAAUUUUAUUAAUUUUUUAAUAAUAUGAAUAAUAAUUAAUUGAAUAAAAGUAUAGAAUUUAUUAGCGAUUAACUCAAUAAAAAAUUAUAUUCUUUUAAUUUGGAACAUAAAAAUUAAAUUAAUGUAAAUUAAUUUACAAUCUGUAAAUAAUUAAAAAAGUAAGUUAACUUAAUAAUAAAAUAAUUCAUAAAUUUAAAAUUUAAUACAUUAAUACUAUGUACAUGUACAUAUGUAGUUACAUACAUACAUAUAAAGCAUAAACUUUUCCUUUUUUUAAAAAAAAAUUCAACUACUAAAAUUUCAUCUUAUAUAAAAAAAUAUUAUUUAAAAUUAUCCUUACUAUAUAUAUAAAGAAUUUUAAAAAUUUUAAGUUUAUAACGUUAGAUAUCACAAAACUUUGCUCAUUUUAUCAAUAUAUCUUUAAAAAAAUCUAAUAAAUAUUGUAUGCUAUUAGUUUAUUAAUUAUAAUAAUUUUAUAAUAUUUUUUAUUCAAAUAAGUAGGGUUAAACACUUAUAAUUUUAGUAUGAUAAUAAGUGUAUUUGAGUAAAUCUAAAAAAUUUUAAAAUUUCUGAUGUCUAUUUUAAAAAUAAAAUAAAUAGUGGUCAUUUAUUAUAAUAUUUUUUAUACUUUUUAAAAAUUAAAUAUUUUAUUAAAUUUUAGUUUAACUACAAAAAGUGUAUAUAUCUGACGUCUAUAAUUUUUCAUUAUGAACUAAAACAUAUUUCUAAUUUUAACUUAUAUUAAUAUAUAUUAAAAUAAUAUAUUUUUGUGAAAUAUAUAUAUAUAUUUUUGAAAUUUUAAAAAUGCUAUAUAUUUAUAUAUCUACAUCAAAAUACAAUUAUAUCAAUUAUGUAAAAUUUUAUCACUAGAAAACAAACUGAAAUAAAUAAAUAUAUAAAAGUCUUUUUGAAGAAACCAACUUUUUAAUUUUUAUAUUAUAAAGUUUUUAAAUUUGUGUAUUUAAAAAACGUGGUAUAUUAUGAUAGGAUGAUAAGCAUAAUGGGUGCUUAAUAUUUGUGCAAAUAUUCUAAAGCUGGUUGCACAUGAGAAUUUGUCAUUUUGUAGUGUUACUAAUACGAGAAUUAAUAAUUGGUCACACUCUAAACCCCACUCAUUAAUUUAUUGUUUAACCUAAUCUAAUCUUGGUUUCUGUGUACGCAGUGAUCCUCCUUCUUCCUGGAAAUUGCUCCUAAUGCUUUUGAAUAUUGAGCGUGUGUGUGUGAGAGAGAGAAAGAGAGAUGCCUUUUCUGCGUCUUGACUUUUCCUGAAUCACAUGGAUCCAAUAUAAAUACACCAUCUCAGGCCUUGCAAGGUUUAAUCCCGUUGAUUGCUUUGAAAGCUCAUAUACAAAACAAAAGAGUGCUUAAGCUUAAAGAAUCAAGAAAAACAUGGUGAGGGCUCCUUGCUGUGAGAAGAUGGGACUGAAGAAAGGGCCUUGGACACCUGAAGAAGAUAAGAUUUUGAUUUCCCAUAUUCAAAAAUAUGGCCAUAGCAAUUGGCGUGCACUCCCUAAGCAAGCUGGUAAACUCCCCAAACCCUUAAUUUGGAUUAUGCUUUUGGUUUUGUUUCUAAUUUGAGCUCCAUUUUUAAUUAUGAUGUCUCAAUUACCUUUCCUUUUUUGUUCUGUAGGUUUAUUAAGAUGUGGGAAGAGUUGCAGACUCCGAUGGAUAAACUAUUUGAGACCUGACAUUAAAAGAGGAAACUUCACUGAGGAAGAAGAGGAAACUAUCAUCAAGUUGCAUGAAAUGCUGGGAAAUAGGUAAUCACAGCACCAUGUUUGGAUCUUCAAAUUCUGAGAAAAAGAAUUGAUGAUCUUUUACUUUAUCUGGUCUUGAAAGAUUCUUGGAUUUUAGAUCUAAUUAAAUGAACCAAGAAAAUUAAUUAAACCAUUGGUAGACUGAUUAUUGCAAUUUUCCAAGUGAUAAGAAGAUUAAUUAUCCUCCAUUUUCCAGGUGGUCAGCAAUUGCAGCCAAAUUACCAGGAAGAACAGAUAACGAGAUUAAGAAUGUGUGGCACACCCACUUGAAGAAGAAGCUCAAACAAAAGCAAGAUUCUAAUAAUCAACAACUAUACGUGACAGUACCAAAAUGUGAAGAUCUCAGCAUCAGUAACCCAUCAGAAUCUGAGAAUUCCAAUAUCCCAGCUCUUCCAGGACAAUAUGAAAGUCCAGGGCAAUCAGCAAUGUCACCUCAGCCCUCUUCUAGUGAUCUCUCCACCGCAACCUACACUUCAGGUGCCACAGCCGAAACCGACGACGUCAAGGUCGAAACUAUGGACUCAUCGGAGAUAUAUUUCCCGGUGAUCGACCAAGAUUUCUGGUCAGAAGCAGAACUAAUUGACAGUUCCAGCAUGGAAUUGGCAUCAGAUAUGGUAGCAGCAUCAGGAUUUAAUGGCAACUGUCUAAGUAUUGAUGAUGAUAUGGAUUUCUGGUACGAUCUAUUUGUCAAAGCCGGAGACAUAGAGGAAUUACUAUAAUUUUUUUUUUUUGGAGACGCAAAUGAAUUUUUGAACAUCCAGGGGAAUCUUGCAAGAAUUUGACCGUUAACCUGGAAAACAAGAAUAUUCAAGUUUUCCAGGGUGGGCCAAAUUUGUCCAAAGCGCAGAAAAUAUACAUCAUUCAUUGACCAAGACAAUUAAGGGCAGAGAUGAAUUCUGACACAGAAGAAUUAAAGGGGAAGAAAUGAGGAGGUUGGACAAGUUUUGUAUAGUGAGUAUUAGAUAGAUUACCCAUUAAUUCUUACUUGCUCUUCACUGCAGAGACAUUUGAAUUGGCGUACACUUGCUCUCAGAUGUAUUCGUUGUUAAUCAAUCACCCUACUGCUUUGAAUUUUCAAUAAAAGCUAGCUGGAGCAGUUCUUUCAGAAACAGGGAAAAAAAAUAUCUCCUAAUAUGAUGCUGUUCGAUAAUCAAAGUUCUUAUUUUUGGCACUUCUUGAAAUUUGACAGGAGGAUGAGAAAGUAAAGGAUACAUCAUGAAUGUAUUUUAUUUUAUUUUUAUGAUUGAAAAUAUAUUUUAUUUUAUCACUUAUCUAAGUGAGUAUCAAGAUUAUGAGAGAUUAAAAGUAUUCUGCCAUUAAAGAAUAAGAGAGACAGAACAAAAAUAGAAAAGGGUUUUCUCUCUCAUUGCACAAAACAUAUAAAAGCAAAAUAUAUACAGGAGUGACACGAAGAAACGAUGUCUAUUGAGAAAGAGAUAAAAAACAACUCAGCAUAACCGAAAAAAAGUUUACAGCUAAUCAUAAAGGAAUAAAAGAAUAAUAAAAGACGAAAAAGGACUAACUAAUCAUAGAGAAGAAGAAGAAGAAGGCUAUCUAAUAAUUUUACAUCCCCUCCUCAAGUUGAGGCAUGGUAACAAUUAUGAAGGCCAACUUAGAAACCAAAGACUAAAAAAUAGGUGCACUAAGAGCUUUUGUGAAUGAAGCAGCUAUCUGGUUGCUGAAAGAUAUUUUCUGGGGAGAAAUAAACCUUUUUUGUAUUACUCCCUCACAAUGUGACAAUCAAUAUCUAAAUGCUUAGUCCUUUCGUGAAAGACUAGAUUAACUGUGAUGUGUAGGGCUGCUUGAUUAUCACAAUGCAAAAUUAUAAGAGCAAUGAUUGGUAUAUUGAAAUCUUGUAUGUAAUACCCGGCUAGACUCCGGUGUCGGAAUUCCAACCUUCUGACGGAAUCUUCGCUGGAAUCCGGAAUCUCAGAUACCAGAACUUCUGAAAGGGUAAAAUAUGUUUUUACAAAAUGUUUUUCAUGGUUUUAAUGCUAAGUUUUUAAGUUAAAGUUUUAAAAAUGAAAAGAAAAUGUUUUUGAGGGAUAAGCCCAGGUUCGGUUGCCGAACCUCAGGUUCGGUUGCCGAACCUCAUGUUCGGCCGCCGAACAUGGUGCUGCCGCGGGAGCUCUUUCGGCUCCCGAAAGUGGUCUGGCCAGCCACCUAUAAGAGGCCCCCAGUCCGAAAACGGGCGAGUUUUUUCUCCAUUUUCGGGCAAAGGUGAGUUCUUGCCCUCCCUUUGUUGAUUUUAUGAUUUUCCUUCAGAUCCUUCAAUGUUUUCACGAGUUUUCUCUUGUCUUUGAAGAUCUAAGCUUAAAUCCGAGUCUUGAAGCCUUGGAGACCGUUUGACUCAUCUCCACGUUGGAGUUGCUGUCACUCCUAGAUCUUCAAGAGGUAAGCCUGGAUCCUUGCCUCUCUUAUGUUUUUAAUUAAGUUUUAUGAAGGUUUAAGGGGUAGGAAUGCAUGUAAUGGUUGGAUCUAGAGCAAUAGGGUUUGAGUUGGGUUUUUGUUCAAUGUAUGCUUAUGUGAUAGUUUUAUAGUUGUUUGUUGGGGAUUUAGGCUAGUUUUUAUGCCCCUUAUGCUUGAUAAGUGUGUAUGCAUAUUUUGUGGGGAUGGGUAUGUGUUUUGGAGAGUUUUGGUGGCUGAAAUGCAUAGGGCAGAAUCGGGUUCUGCCAUUCUGGAGAACCCAGGUUCGGCCGCCGAAGGAGGGUUCGGCCGCCGAACCUGUCUGUGGAGGCAGCCUUUGGCCGCCUAACAUGCUCCCGAAAGAAUGGACUUUCGGAUCUGGAAGGGAGUUUCGAUCGCCGAACCUGCCCCCGAAGGUUGGUGACUUUCGAAUCUGUGGAGACCUUCGGCCGCCGAACCUGCCCCCGAAAGUGCCUGACUUUCGGAUCUGUAGGGACCUUCGGCCCUGAACCUGCUGCCGAAAGUCCCCUGCCCAGCCUUCUUUUGCUUGUUUCUAAUGCAUGUUUUAUGAUGUUUUAGGGGGUUUUUGGGGAGAUGUUUAGAGUCUUGAUAGAGUUAUGUUUGGUCCCUCAUUUGAGUCCACCUGUGUAGGUUUGGACCUGAGAGACCAUAGAAGCCAGCAGUAAGUUAGCUGCUCCUUUGUUAGUAAAGCGUCAGUCAGAGGUGAGUAGAACUAAACUAAUCUAUUGUUUUUAAAGUAAUCAAACUUUUAAGCAUGUUUAUGCAUCAUGAAUGCCAUGCUAUGUAAUAGGUUGUUGCAUUAGAAUUCAUAAAUUUGAUGCAUUGCAUAAUUUACUAUUGAUGUGGAUGGAUAUUGGAUGACCCACUAGCCCUCGAUAUGAUAUGAUAUGAUAUGAUACAGAAAGACCAGGCUUGCCCAUUCUACGCCCCUGGCACGAUGUAAGGGAAAGACUAGGGCUUGCCCAUUCUAUGCCCCUGGCACAGUUGGAUAUGUUAUGUUAUGUUUAAAAAUAAGUCCUGAGGAGCUCCGUCGAGGGCCGGACAUUAUUUGGAAUAUGUAGAGGGUUACUGGUGACAAGUCCAUCCUUGAUGUGUAUUGUUUGUGUUGUGAUGCAUUUCAUGCGAGCAUAUGUUUAUUUAAACUGUUUUUAUGGUUCUGCUCACUAGGUUCUUGUAGCUUAUCCCUUUCCCCUAACCCCAGGUUUGCAGGGUCAAGAUUAGCUCGGGAAGUUGGCUUGAGGCGGGUAUAGUUUAUGUAAUAGAUAGUAAUGGACAUGUAAUUUUUAAUGGAAUAGAUUUGUGCUUUGCCCUAGUUUAUGUUGUUAAUCCCAGUGAACAGGUUUUUAUGUAAAAGUUUUUAUUAUGAGUUAUGUUGAACCAAGCUUGAUGUAUGUGAUGUUGACCAUACUAGAGCAUUUGAUGAGGGCUCUAGUGUGGGUUUUAUGUAUACAGUUUAUGUUGAAUGCACAGGUCGAGCUUGGUAUAUGGAAAAGUUUAAAAUUUUUUAUGAAAAUGUAUGUUCAUGUAUGGGAUUUUAUCAGGUACACAGGAUGCAUAGUAGGCUUGCUACGGGUUCCGGUGACCUUAAGUCGACCUGAAUCCUAGCGCCGAUAGCGGUCCGGUUUUCGAAUCGUUACAUUGUAGAAUAUAACAAAUUCAUUGUAGUUCACAAACUAUUGAGGUCAUGGAUCGAUAUUCUGCUUUAGCUGAUGAUCUUGAAACUGUGGUCUGCUUUUUGGUUUUCUAGUGAACAACUGAAUUUCUUAGAAAAAUAUAAAAACCAGUUAAUGACUUUUUGCUAUUAACACAAGAAACCCAGUCUGAGUUCCAGAAGGUUUCUAAUUUUAUGUUGUUAUCUAUUGGAAAGUAGAGCCCUAAGGAAGGUCUUCCUUUCAAGUAUCUUAGAACAUAAAGAGCAUUCUUCCAAUGAUGAUGUUUAGGAUCAUGAACAUACUGGUUAAGCUGCUAAGUUGCAUGAGCAAUAUGUGGUCUGGUGUAUUCCAAAUACAACAUCCUGCCUACUAAUCUUCUAUAAGUAUGAGGAUCUUCUAACUUAAGGCCAUCAUCUUCAUGUAACUUAUGACCUUUCAUCAAGAGAGUUGCAACUGGUUUGCACCCCAUUAAAGCUGCAUCAUUGAUUAAGUCCAAGGCAUAUUUUAUUUGCUUAACACACAAACCAGUUGCAAACUUUAUUAUUUUCAAACCCAUGAAGUAUUUGGCCAACUACAUAUCCUUUAUAGUGAAUUUUCCAUUCAAAAAACUAUUUACCUUUUUAAUCUCUUCCUCUGAACUGCCUAUGAGCAGUACAUUAUCUACAUAGACUAGCAAAGCCAAAAAGACAUUGUGUUUGGACAUUAUAAACAAACAAUUAUCAUGACAUGAUUGUUUAAAUCUAUAUUUCUGUAGUUGAUUAGUAAGCUCUAUAUUCCAUUGUCUGGAAGCUUGUCUAACCCCAUAUAAUGACAUCUUUAGUUUGUAUACUUGCCCAGGUUUAGCCCUAUCAUCAUAAUCUUUUGGUAAUUCCAUGUAAACCUCUUCGUCUAAAUGCCCAUGUAAAAAGCAUUAUAUAUGUCUAGUUGAUGAAGAGACCAAUAUUUUGCAGCAACAAUGGUAAAAAAUAACCUAACAAUUACUACCUUAGCAAUAGGGGAGAAACUGUCAUUAAAGUCAAUACCUUCAACUUGGUUAUAGCCUUUUGCUACUAACCUUGCCUUGAAUCUAUCAAUGGAUCCNNNNNNNNNNNNNNNNNNNNNNNNNNNNNNNNNNNNNNNNNNNNNNNNNNNNNNNNNNNNNNNNNNNNNNNNNNNNNNNNNNNNNNNNNNNNNNNNNNNNNNNNNNNNNNNNNNNNNNNNNNNNNNNNNNNNNNNNNNNNNNNNNNNNNNNNNNNNNNNNNNNNNNNNNNNNNNNNNNNNNNNNNNNNNNNNNNNNNNNNNNNNNNNNNNNNNNNNNNNNNNNNNNNNNNNNNNNNNNNNNNNNNNNNNNNNNNNNNNNNNNNNNNNNNNNNNNNNNNNNNNNNNNNNNNNNNNNNNNNNNNNNNNNNNNNNNNNNNNNNNNNNNNNNNNNNNNNNNNNNNNNNNNNNNNNNNNNNNNNNNNNNNNNNNNNNNNNNNNNNNNNNNNNNNNNNNNNNNNNNNNNNNNNNNNNNNNNNNNNNNNNNNNNNNNNNNNNNNNNNNNNNNNNNNNNNNNNNNNNNNNNNNNNNNNNNNNNNNNNNNNNNNNNNNNNNNNNNNNNNNNNNNNNNNNNNNNNNNNNNNNNNNNNNNNNNNNNNNNNNNNNNNNNNNNNNNNNNNNNNNNNNNNNNNNNNNNNNNNNNNNNNNNAGAUAAAUUUGCAACAAAACUCAUAUGUGCAUCAGUAAAAUGUUUGGGUGUGAUGUAUGGAUAAGUGAGAGGUUUGCAUUUGGUUUCAAGUCUAAUACUUGUUGGAUUAAAGAUAUGAUGUGAGACAUUAUUAACUGUAGUAACAUAGUCAUUGAUCCAGCUAGGUAGUUUUCUGGUUCUAUUGCUAUGUCUAAUAGGGAUGGGUUCUGGAGUUGAUGAGGAAUGUUCAGGACUUUCUGAUAUUUUAUAAACUUCUUGAAUAUCGGUAUGAGGUGGAGUGUCAAGGGUAUCAUUAAUAUUUUUAGAUUCAUAAAUGAUAUUUUGAGUAUCAGAAAAAUGAGGAAAAGGCAAGAUAGGUUCUAAUUGAGCUGCAACAACAGUUUCUGUGGUUUUGAAAGGAUAAAUCUCUUCAUGAAAUCUAACAUCCCUAGACACAAUAAUCAUAAAGCUACCCAAAUCAUAAAGCUUGUAUCCCUUUUGCCCUGGUGAAUAGCCUAGAAAAAUGCAUCUGAUGGCUCUAGGUGUAAAUUUAUCCUUGUGAGGAUAGACAUUAGUUGCGAAAAAUAGACUGUCAAAGCACUUCAAAUCUUCAUACGUAUGUUCCCUUUCAUGUAGCAUUUCAUAAGGAGUCUUUAAAGACAGAGUUUGUGUGGGAAGCCUAUUUAAAAGAUAAACUGCAUGCAAAACAACUUCACUCCAGAACCUAAUGGGAGUAUUAGACUGAAACAUCAAGGCACUAGCCAACUGCAAUAUGUUCCUAUGCCUUCUUUCUACAACUCCAUUCUGUUAGGGAGAAUAAACACAACUUCUUUGAUGAAUAACCCCAAAAUCCUUUAAAACCUGUUGACAAUUCUCUCUUAUAAAUUCGAAACCAUUAUUUGAUCUAACAUACUUUAUAAUUUUCUCAAAAUGAUUCUUUAUUAUGACAAUAAAAUUUUUCAAUAUUGAAGCAGUCUGCAAUUUACUUUUCAUCAGGAAAACCCAGGUACAUUUGCUAUAAUCAUCCACUAAAGUCAAGCCUCCUGUCAUACUAGCAUACUUGUAGGGUCCUCAUAGAUCAAUAUGGAUUAAUUCAAAAAUAUCAGCGGUCUUACUGUUGCUAUAAGAAAAAAGGCAAUCUACUCUGCUUGGCAAGAGGACAAACUUCACAAUUAAUAGAAAUAUCAACUGCAUUCAUAGAGGGCAAAUAUUCAAGAACAAUAUUAGAAGGAUGUCCUAAUCUCUGAUGUCAAAUGUAAGCUUACACCAGAAAUCUUAUUUAUAAAAUUGACAUCAUUAGAGCCAGUACUCAAACCAAGUAAACUAUUGUGUCUAUGUAUAAUAUCACUCUUAUAUGAACUGGGAUCAAGUAUAUAUAAAUUCUCCUUCAACUUCCCCACUCUAAGAACCUUUUUAGUCUUAAGUCCUGAAAAACACACAACUCAGGGUAAAUAGUACACUUCAGGUAGUUUUUCUGUACUAAUCUACCAAUUGACAAUAAAUCAUGCUUGAAGCUAGAAAUGUAUAAUAUAUCUCUAAGAAUUAAGGAAUCAUGAAGCCUUACAUCUCCGUGCAGCUCAACCAAUUUGGUUGCAUUAUCAGGUAAAUGAACAAUGAUUUUUUUGGCUAAUAAUUUUAAGGUUGUAAGUAUAUUUUUGAAAGCAUAUAUAUGAUUAGUUACACCUGUAUCAACUAUCCAACAACUCACAAAGUUAUUUUGUUUAGAUUUUGUGAUAAAGCUACUUGCAAAGUUAGAAAUCUGAGCAAAGUUAACCUUCUCCGAAGUAAUCAUCUGCUUUUCCUUCAAAAUUAUGUUAAUUUUCUGCUGAAUCAGCUCUGUAAUGGUAGGUGAACACUGAUGUAGACUUUCUUUCAUCUCAUCAACUGUGUAUUCUUCAAUAGAGUUGCCUACCAUAUUGGCCUACCUUUUUCCAGUUGUUACCUUGUCAUUCUUUAAUUGCUUAUACCAAUCUGGAUAUCCAUGUAGGUUAAAACAUGUAUCCUUGGUAUGUCCCCCUGCGUUGCAAUAUUCACAUACUCUAUCUUCUUUCUUGUCUUUCUUCUUUGAGCCAAAUCCCUUAUACCCAUUUGACUGAGAGGCAUCAUGACACUACUAUCUGAAUUCUCUGUAAAGUUUAACUGCACAUUUUUCUGUUUUUCAACCCUUAAAAUCAUUGAGUAAGCCUUGUUAACAGAUGGUAAUGGAUCAAGAACUAAGAUCUAGUUUUUGACAUGGUCAUAACACUCAUUUAGACCCAUAAGAAAUUGAAUAAGUUUAGUUUGUAACAUUAUCUCAAUAAUCUCAUUUGAAACAUCACAAGUACAAGGACGCAUAGCUCCAAAUGUGCAUUAAGACAUUGGUUGAAGAACAUAUAAUUCUUCCCACAGUUUUUUAAGUUUGCUAUAAUAAGUAACCACAAUUGUGUUAUCUUGCUCCAUUGAGGAAAUUUGCCUUUGUAUCUAAUAAAUCUGUGGCCCAUUACUUUUACUAAAUUGCUCCUCCAGAUCUAGCCACAAUCUUUUUGCUGAAGUUGAGUAGAUGAAAGUCUCUGCAAUCUCCUUGGACAAUGAAUUAAUUAUACAGGAAGAGACCAUUUCAUCAACUCUUCUCCAUUUGCUCUUGUUUGGUUCAUCUUUGGGCUUUAGCAAAACACCAUUAAUAAAACUCAAUUUAUUUUUGGCAGCCAAGGGUCAUUUGAUAGACCUAUUCCAGGUCAAAUAACUGUGGUAUUAUAACUAAUGUCAUUGUAGGAUUAUCUGGGUUUAAUAUUGCUGCUCUCUCUCCGAUUGACGUUCGAGCUUGAUUAGUCUGUGUAUUAACUAUUUCUCCUUUAUUUACCGUCAAUAAUAAUAAUAAUAAAAAAGAUAAAUUUAAAGAACUUGUAGCUCUACUACUAUAUUAAGAUUAUGAGAAAUUAAAAGUAUUCUGUCAUGGAAGAAUAAAGGGAAUAUAAAAAAAUAAAAAAAGAUUUUCUCCUUUAUUACAUAAAGCAUAUAAAAAUAAAAUAUAUAUAAAAGUGGUACGAAAUAAGCAUACUUGUUGAGAAAAGAUAAAAAGCAGCUCAGUAUAAUUAAAAAAAAAAAAAAACUUUACAGCUAAUUCUAAAAAAAUAAAAUAAAAAUAAAAAACGAAAAAAUAUCGAUUAAUUAGAGAGAAAAGAAGAAGAUUGACUAUCUAAUAAUUUUAGAGUGGGCAUCCAAAAUAUAAACUUAGUGGAUGUACUUCAUUAAUUGGACAAAAUUUGGAAUUUCCACCAACUAGAAAAAAGCCAUCAAAAUUUAGAAUAGAGAAUAGUAGAGAAUUGUUGUUAGUCUCUAUGACUCUUUCUUGCUGACGUCUAUAUUCAAAUGUCAUCACAAAUCAGCUCGAACUCACACGGUAUCUACACUUGAAUUUACCUCUCAAAAAUAUUAUUAAAAAAUAAUUUGAAAAUUUGUAAUCUCGUUUUAAUAUUUUAUCAAUAAUAUAUAUUACAUUUAUUUUAAAAAUAUUUUAAAAUUAUUUGAUAAUUAAUGACGUAAUAAGGACGUCAAAAUCGAAUUUGACAAUGACUGCACACGACAUUAAGAUCAAAAUUUGAAGUGUCUUUUAAGUAGACGAGUAAUAGUACUUCAUCACAAACUUAAUUUACCAUUCCUCUUGACUUCUCUUAAUUGCUUUUUAUUUUCCACCUUCAAUUUGGAAAUUUCCUACAUUUAUACUUAAUUGAUUCAUAUAAUUACACUCCCACUAAUACUGUUUGUGGAACUAAAUAAGUUUUUCAUAUUAUAAAUUUGUAAUUUUUAUAUUUCUAAACCAAAAUUUUCAUUAAAUUUCAGUAUCUUUUAAGUUGUUAUUAAUUUUAUAUGAAUAUAGAGAUGUUUAUUUCUCCAUUUAUCUUUAAAAUUAUAAAUCACCGCUUGUUAAUUGAUGGAAUUUAUUUAUUUAUUUAUUAUUUGGUGUUUAUUAUGAUUAAAAGGUCUUAAAAUCUAGCAAUACGUGUGCAGUAUAGAUAUUUUAUUAAAUGCAAUCAUUAUAUACUUAUUUUUUUUUGUAAAUUUAUUUAUUUAUUUUAUUAUUUUUUGAAAAAUGCUUAAACCAGUCUUUUUAUAUUUAUAAAAUUUAUUAUAUACAUAGCAAAAAGACAAACUAAGCUUAAUUAUUAAAAGGUAAAUUAUCUCUGGCUACAAAAUUAAAAUGUUACAAGUUUAUUUAGGAUAAUGAAUAAGGAAUUGAUACCCCUUAAUCAAACAAAUGAAUAAUUCAUUGGUAUCAUAAACAAGGAUUUGAUUUGGGCGAAUACGUGAUCCGAUCUUCAAAUCUAAGAAUCUUUCUAGAUUUUUAUUUUAUUUUCUUCUUCUUUUUUUAUUACUGGAGUCUCCCUUCAAACUAUGAGCCUGUACUUCAACAAAGAUACAAGUAAUCCCCCCUUCAAAUAAAUCAAAAUCUCCAAUGGAGUGGUUGAACCGGCAGGGAGCUAAUAAAUUUUAUUUAAUGACCACUUGUUUUCAUUUCUUUUGGUCUUGUUUAUGUCUUUGUUUCUAAACUUUAAUAUUGUCUUUUAUAUGCUAAUUUUUUGUUCAUUCAUCAUGAAUCGUAGGUCACCUCUUUUUUUUUUUUUUUAGAAAAAAAAAAGAGUAUUGAAAAAAUAAAAUUAAUUUCCAAAUAAUUUAGUAAUAUACAUUAUUUAAGUUUUAAAAAUAGCAAUAUAAAUGGGAUACAUUUAAAAAAUAGUAAAUAAAUUUUCUUGCAUUAACUACAGUAAUUAUAUGUGGAAAUUUAAAUAAGUCCACCUUUUAGAAAGAAGGGGGUCCAUUGGAUCAAUAUAAAAGACUAUGCCCUUAAAAUCAUCUAAAAAUGUCCUAUUUCAAUAUUACAUAAUGGCACAAUGAGUAGCCAUUAAUUAACAACCUAAUCCACUAUUGAAGCGACAUUAUUUAGAGAAAAAAGAAGAAUAUAGUAAAUUGUAUAGAAAAAGUUUUAAAUAAUCUAGUAAUAUCCUUGCAAGUGCAACCAUAUAUAAUCUACAGAAUUAGAGGGGAAUCAAACCCCAAAGCAGUUCCCACCUUCGCUAAUACGUCCAAGCAUUAACAAACUUGGACCAAUGACUUUAACUAAUUAAUUAUGUUCUUGAUACAGCACUGUUAAGUCUAAAUUAGGGGAACCAAUCCAAAAAUGAAAAGUACCGUAAUACAGUGAAAAGUUUCCGGGGUCCAUAGUCUUGGUAAAACAGCUUUGCACCAACGCUGCAUCAGACUCUCCUUACGAUACUUUUACACCAACGAGGUCUACUGUCGGCAUUCGAGGAAAGAUGUUUGGAUUCACGUUCAGCUUCCUGGAUAUUUCGUCUGUCAUUUUAUUUACAACAACCCAGAAUUGAUCAUCAUAACUUCAACUCCAUCUUUGAUUAUUGACUCAAGUUUACAAGCGAAAGGAAGCUGAAGAUGCCGAAAGGAAUCUGAUUUCCAAAUUCCCUGCAUUUAGAUGCGGCCGUCGCAACAGCAACAGAUGCGAUGCCUUUGCUCUUCAGUCCAUAUAUAUGAAAUGCAAGCCUAAAGCAAUCAUCAAUCUUGUGAGUUGUUUAUACUCGUUACUGUUUUCUUUUGUUUUUUACAUCAAUCCUGUUAAUAGGCAGACAGAUGAUCAGCUGAACAAAUUCAGUCCCUCGCCACGUACAAAAAUAGACACGACAACAGAGCCCGCCCGCUUAAAUCCAGGGUAGAGAGGCGUCAACAACGACAUGGAACCCCAAAAGUACUUUUUGCAACUUGUAUAUCCACAAUUUUGCAGUUUACACUCGAUCGACUCAAGCAAUCUCUCAACAAAGAUCAAUGUCCCUAACAGAAAAAGGUGUCGGGAGAAAAUCCCCGAAUGACUGGAGGACACAAAAGCAGCUUCAUCACCUGUAUAAAUCACCUUCAAAUUCAACGCCGAAGUAGAACUCCAGGUGGAAAGCAGAUGACUACACCAUCGGGUAACCCCAGAAACCAUCUGCACCACUAGUCUAUCUUAGGCUGCAACCCAGUUUUAAGCUCAUAGAAGUUAAACUCCAUAACCAAACAAAUAAAACGACCUCCACAAAACUGUGAUUGCGAGUCCUCAUACAUUACCCAUAUCACACGUGCAAGUAAGAAAUCAAACGCCACAAAUUUUGAACUCCAGAUUCAGCAUUUUAAGAAACUGAAGAACAAAAUAACUGAACGAUUUAAGCAAAUGUUAAAAUCUUAAUCCGUUAAGUUAUAAAAAUACAUAACAUCAUCAUAUCAGAUGACAGGUAUAACAAAAUGAGAUCCAAAAUACAGUUUCUCCAUCAAUGAUGGUUCCUCCAAAACUUCAAUGGCUUUAUUCAAAACUGUAACUAUGCCUCCUGCAACAAAAGAUGAGGCCUACCUACUACAGACCAGUGAUAGCAUUUAUGAGAGACAUGAAUAAGCAAGGGCCUUCUCCUCAGAAAGCUCAUCUGCUGUCAAGUCCAACUUCUUCCUCGAAAAUUCAUCAAUAUGAAGUCCUAGACCACACAAGAGAAAGGGGGCAAAAGUUAAAACUUUAAUCAAGCAUCACAAGUUCCUUAUAUAAAUUAUUACAAAUUUCCACGAAAAUCAACAAAUCGUAAUUGCAGCAAUAGAUACACAGUAGAGAGUAUAACUCUUAGCAAAUUACGUCAAAUAAUUUAAUCAAGAAAACAUGUGCCAAAAAAAAUAACAAAAUCCUACAGACACAAGGGAACACAUUGCAACUAAAUGGCUAUAACUAUGUCACAGGUUAAUGUAAUAUGGAAAUAUCUAAACACCUAUCAUGAUGCCAUUUACAGUAUUCUUACCCUGAACAAUUUUCCAUUCUCCAUUUUGGCAUGUGACUGGGAAAGAAUAAAUCAGCCCAGCUGGUACAUUGUAUGAGCCAUCAGAGUACACACCCAUGGAAACCCAUGUGCCCUACAAGCAAGUAAAAAAUAAUAGAAGUGAAGAUAACAGCCAAUGCAGACAGAAUAACCCUGAAGAACAAAGAAACAUUGUCAAACCUCAGGAGUUCCAAGAACCCAAUCACGAAUGUGAUCACAAGCAGAACUAGCAGCAGAUAAUGCACUUGAAAACUUCCGCGCUUUGAUAAUUGCAGCUCCACGUUGUUGGACUGUAGUGAUGAACUCAGCAUUCAACCUUCAACAAAAAAAAAAAAAAGACAUUUAGAAAAGCUUGAAAUUUUCACCAAAUACAUCAGUUACAGCACCACAGAAAAUACAGUUGCUAAUACCAUUCGUCAUCUUUAACUAGCUCCCGGACAGGCUUCUCCCCAGAUGGAGUUUUAACAGUAGCAUGGUUGACAUCAGGGUAUUGAGUUGAUGAAUGAUUUCCCCAAAUUAUCACAUUCUUAACAUCAGAGACUUGGACAUUCAAUCUCUCUGAGAUUUGACCAAGUGCCCUGUUAUGAUCCAGUCUUGUCAAGCAAGUAAUAUUUUUCUCAGGGACAGAAGGAGCAAAUUCCUUCAAAAUCAACGCAUUUGUGUUUGCUGGAUUGGCAACAACCAGAACCUGGGUGGCAAAGGAAGCAGCAAAAAUUAGAAGAUAUUCAAACAAGUUAAAAGUAAGCAUUUCAAAAAUAUCUAACACUAACUGUAUAACACAAUUUACGUUUUAGUUUUUUUAGAAAAUUAAAUUCUACUGUUUGAUUGGAAUAUAGAAAAUUUAGCUAGAAAUUAAUUUAUAACAUUUAAAAUACAUUAGAAAAAUAAAUUUUGUUUGAAUAAAUAACACUGAAAAUGUUUUAGACUUGCAAAGUUUUCUUACUCUUUAAUAUAGUUCAAUAUGAAAGAAAACUAUAAAUAAAUAAAUAAAAGAGAAUAGAAAAGAAAAAAAAGAAAAGUAAUUAGACACUGACCACCAGUAACCUGUGACAGGUUAGCAAUGGCCAAAGAUGAUUGAACGUGGUUAAAGGACCAACAGGCCUCUACCAACAAGGUCACACAGUACAUUACUUUACUUUCUUAUGAGUUUGUGAUGGUGCAAGAGAUAACUUCCCAUUUUGCAAACAACAAAUAAUCUCCUUUGAAACUAUCUUCAUUUUCUUUUAACCAGAAGGACAUUCCUUAUUGAUCAAUUUUCUACAUGCCCCAAACGCUAACUGUGGAUUUUUUUUUUUUAACUAAUACAUUUCCCAUAAACAAAGUCGGCCUAAAUUCAUAAAUGGUAUUUCACAUCACUUUUAGAUUUCCAAGAGAAUUGAUAACAUCUCAAAACAUUUCAAUUUCUUCCUCUAUUUAGAAGUAUGAUUUUGUUCAAAUUGAAUUGCUAUAGAACAAUCCACUGUAAAAUAAUGUCCAAAUAGACAGACAAUAUUUUUUUAUUGAUAUAAUUGUAUUCACCUUGCAAUUUGCAGCUGCAUGCUUCUCUAAAGCUGAAGCCUGGGACUUGUAAAUUGACACAUUUUUCGACAUCACAUCUUUUCUCUCCAUUCCUUCUUUCCUAGGGAAGCCCCCAACCAUGACAGCAAUGUUUACACCAGUGCAAGCCUCAACAGCAUCAGUUGUAGCCACAACGCCUUAAACAAAUUAAUGUUGGCUCAGAUCUCAUAAUCAUAUAAUAGAUUCCUCACAAAUCCAAAAUGGCAAUUUUGUAAAAUGAUGCUUCAACAAAUUUUUCUUUGAUUUUCAAUAAAGGAAAUAAUGAAGAGCAUAUACCUUUAAGAAGAGGAAAAGCAGCAUCUACUAAUUCCAUCUUCACACCAUUAAGUGCCUCUGCUGCAGGUGGGAUGUCAAGCAUGUGGAGGAUCACAGGUUGGUCAGGACCAAGCAUCACACCCCUAGCAAUCAUGGGGACAAGGGCAUAUCCAAUUUGUCCUGCAAUUAUCAACAUCAACUCACUAUGCUUCUUAUUAAACAAUUGCAAAAGCAACUACUGUGUUUGAAACUUCGAAUAAUAAAGUAGUAUUCACAUUGUAUAAAUGACUGUAACUUUAAAAUGGUAAUUUGAACAGCCUUGUUAUAAAUAGACAUAUAAGCAGAGUCACAGUUUACAUGAAGACGAUUAUCCUUCAAAUUCUUAAUGAAGUCAAAGUUUAAGUUGGCAAAAAACGAUCCUCUUGGGCUACAAACACAAUAAGUUCCCCAGAUGCCAACGGUUAAGAGUAAAAAACAGCAUCCCACAUCUAAGUCAUCAAUAACAGGGUUGCGCACAUAUUUCAUGAUCAGAUCAAUCUAUGCAACAUUAACAAUUCAAGUCAAAUGACAGUACUUCGACUAGUUCACAAUCAGACAUGGUAAAAUAAAAUACAGAACAAACCAAAUGCCACCUGCCGUGGCUUGUAUUUCUUAAAAGCGAUAUAAAACUACACAGUAUAGUCAACCAAAUCCUGGGCGACCGUCGUUGUUAAAUACAAUUUUAGAUCUGUGCGUAUGAAGCCUAACAAAAGUCCGAUCAUUAUGGGGGAAAAUUAAAACUGAAUUAAAUAUAUCAUUUUUAAGUAAAAGCAAAAACUGAAGAAAAGUAUACUCCAAGCAUUAUAGCAUUUACAAUCCUCGACCAACUUAAAUCAACCUCACAAUUUAAUUUUUCUAAAAAAUCAAACAUUCGUGCUUCCCAUAUCAAUCCAGUUCAGUAACCACAGUAGAGAUAAAACAGCAAGACAAUCUUAGACUUGAUAAUAUUUAUAUCAUCCAAACAUAAUAGAUCUGAAUCGGUGUUUCAAGUAAAUCGAACAGAUAAUAGUAACAGAGUUGGGAUCAAAUGAAAUGAAGGGAAAACAGCGAUCAACGACAGAUCUGAACGUAAAGAGCAACAGUGAUGCUUUUCUCAUUUCGUUUUUGAGUUGACAUACCUGCAGCACCAGUGACAAGAACGCGAACAGGAUCCUUCGCCAUUGAUAGAGAUAGAGAAACAAAAAACGAUUAGCUCUCGACUGUAGCAGUUAACGAAUAUGAUAACGAGAGCAGAAAAGCUUGAUCGGGAUAACAGAGAACCAAGCACUGAUAUUUAUGUAUGCUGCCAAGGGAUAAUGUGAUGUGUCCAGGGAAGCACCGAAAGACUGCGAUAUAUUAGAACGACGACGUUUCACUGGGCUCUGGCCAGAGAGUUCGCUUGUGCGUAGCGUACGUGUAACGCAUAUGCCUGUUCAGAUUCGCCGAGUUUAGGCGUGGGACUGGUGAUCUAAAUGAUGACAUGAGUCAUGCUUUAGGGUAGUGGGGUCAAAGUGGAUAAAUGAAUGGUGGUUAGCCUAGCGACGUUUCAGCGGCCGCCCUUUGUUUUUUUUCCUACCUUGAUGGUUUCAGCGGGCUCACGUUGUAGCUUGUAGGAAUGAGACCAACUUCCGCUUCCCUUGCCUCAAACUAUUGCAGCUAUUUUAUUUUUCCACUCUCAAGUAAGUAUUUUUUUUUUCAAUUUAUAUAUUAAAAAGAGAAUAUAACGACUGAUGUAGUAAUUUAUUUGAUAAAUAUUUUAUUAUCCAUUUGAGUUGUGGUUAACCCUCUAAAUCUAAUCUCAGUUUUAUAAAUAAUAAAUUACUUAAUCUCUAUAUAUUAUAAUAAUUUAUAAUUUUAUAAUUUUAAUGUUAUUCAUAUUAGAAAUCUUAAAGAUAAUUUGUUAGAAAUAUGUAAUUAAUAAAAUUGUUUAGUUAUAUUGGUUAGACAAUAAAAUAUUUAAUAUUUAAAAAUUAAAGUGAAAGAUUGCAAAAGAGUACAAAAAUAAUUGAAGUAAUAUGACACAUAAUAUUAGUAAAUUGAAAUAAUUAUUCAUUCAAAACAAAAAUUAAAAAUAUUUUUUCAUUUAAUAUUUUAGAAAUUUAAUUUUUUUCCUUUUUUCUUUUUCAUUUUCAUUUUUUCUCUCCACAUAGAUGUGCUAAUUACGUUAUAUUUUGAUAAAUACUAAAAUUUGACACUUUAAAUAACAACAUCAAUCUUUUUAAAGAAAAUAUAACGUGAAAUUAUUUUUAGAAUACGUGUAAAAAUCUAAAAAAUUGAUUAUUUUCUUUAUAUACAGAUUUGUUUUUUCUUAAUAAUUAAAAAUUUAGGAAAGUAUUUAUUUUCUUUACAUAUAGCUGUAGAAUUUUUCUUAGUAAUAAAAAACCAUUUUAAAUAAAAUCUCAAAAUUUCCACAUUAAUAUUUUUCUUUUCUUUAAAUACUCCACAUUAAGGUUUGAAAUACCAAAGGUAGACUCUAGAAUCGCCCAACUGGGCCAGGCUUCAUAUAUGAGCUCUCUCAAUUUAGCAUUACAAUUUUCUAAUUUUAAAUUUUAUUUUAUUUUUAUUCAUUUUGAUUGGCUUAAUAAGAAUUUCUAAAUUUUUUAAAAAAAUUAAUUUAAUUAGUAUUAGUAUUAAUUAUAGUUUCAAAAGACUAAAUUCACUGCAUCUAGAUCUAUUUAAAAAAAAAUUAAUAUUUACAUCAUCAUCAAUAACUUAUAAUAUCGUAAAUAAUUUUUUAAAAAGCAAAUAUAUUUUUUAUCCUUCAAAGCUUUUCCAUCAGGUAUAUUUUUAUAAGGAAAAUGAUACUAGACUGAACUACUGAUCAAUUAUUGUGGCAGAUGGAUUUUGAAGCAUAAUUGAAUAUUUCAAAGAAAUAAUUUAAGUUAAAAGGGUGAGGGUGUAGACAAAGGUGUUAAAAAUAAUUUAUAUGUUUAACACAUUUCAUAUGGCAAGUUUAUUGAGAAUAAAAUGUAAAACCUGAAUUAUUAAUUAAAUAUUUUACUUAUAUCAAAAUAUUUAAUUAAUAAAUGAUAAUAGUUAAAAUUAAAAUCUUAUACGCUGAAGUUUGAGAACGUUAAUACCAGGAAAAACCAAUUUUUUAACUAAAAAAUUGAAUUUUUUAAAUAAGAGUUUCAAGAAUAAUUUUGUACAUCUAAUACAAAAAGAAGCUGAUCCAUUCCAAUGGUAAUAAGUAUAUGUUAUGUUUCGUUUCCGCAUUAUUGUUUUUAUCAAUGAAAUAAAUAGAGAAAUAAUAUUUAGAAAGAUUUAUUAUUUAGUCUCCGAAUAUUGUCAUUAUUAACUAAGUCGAUUUUUAUAGUUUUAAACACCUAUUAAAAUAUCCUUAUCUUUUCUUUUCGUUAAUAAAAUAAUCUUUUCGCCUUCUUUUCCAUUAAAAAUAGAUAAAGAAUAAAAGAGAAUUUUUAAAAUCCAAUCUUGCUCUUAAAUAAAAUCUCUUAUUUAGUCAUUGAAUAUUGUUAUUAUUAACAUAUCAGUCUCUAUAUUUUUAGAAAUAUAUUAAAACGUCCUUAUAUUUUCUCAUAUCUAUUAAAACAUUCUUAUUGUUUAUUUCUAUCAACGAAAUAGUUUCUCUUUCUCCUCUUCAAAAAAGAAGAAAAAAAAAUGAUGAUGAAGGACAAAAAGAAGAAAAAAGAAAAAGAAAGAGAAGAAGAAGACGACGAUAAAGAAGAAAAAGAAGAAUCGCCUCCUUCUCCUUAAAGAAGAAUAAAAAGAAGAAUCGAAGAAGAAUUAAAGAAAAAAAAGAAGAAUUAAAGAAGAAGAAGAAUCAAAGAAGAAAGGGUAAUUUGAUCUUUUACUAUAUUAUUAACGGCAGAAAUAAACGCAAUGAUUAUUUUGUUGAUAGAAAAAAAAAUAGGAAUGUUUUAAUAGAUUUCUGAAAAUGUAGAGAUUAACUUAUUAUUCGGAUACUAAAUUAUAAAUCUCUCUGAUAUUUAUAUAUAAAAAAAAUUAUUAACUAUUACCGGAUACCGUGUAUAUGCUUAUUCACUAAUAAAUAGUGGGUCUCAUCUUUUAUAAUUUUAAGUAAAAACUAAUAUCAUAUGAGCGAAGUAGCACCAUGUUCAUGUGUACUGUUGUAUUGUAGAAUUUUCCAAACUAUAACUCAUGUGUCUACUAAAAGAAAAAAAUUACAAUGAUGGAAAAAAAAAAAUUACAUUCCAUUGGCAAUGUAGUUCAAGAAAAUAUUAAUGAAAUCUCACUUUACAUAAUCACCUUAAAAAAAAUGAAAUAACAUUAUAGCAAAAUAAUGGCCUUGAUCGGUUCAUCUUUGGCGAACACAGAACCUUAAAAUCAAUAAGAUCCUUUUUUUUCUUUUUCUUGUUCAUCCAAACUUCCACAUUGAGAAAUGAUAACAAAAGAAAAGGAAAGAAAAUGCAAAUUGAUCCUUUAGGCACCCCUAGCCAACAUCUCCUCAAAUUCACCAAUGGAUUUCUCCCUCUGAAGCUUUAUUUCUCGACGAAAAUUAGCUAUAAAUUCCUCAGCCCUCUCAUCCACUGGUCGCAGCUGCGGUGAUUUAGCAACAACUUCUCUCCAAGCAUCUUCAAUGCUAUACAACACCUUCUCCUUUUUCUUUUCUUUUUCCGUUUCUACUUUUCUGGGCAAAACAUGUUUAUCAACCACUUGUUCACCUCUGCUACUAGUUUCUGCAUGGGAAUGCUUGGCCUCCAAUGAAGACGAUGAUCUUGGAGAUUCUACAGAGUAGAGAUUGUCUAUAUAUAUGGGUGAGAAGUUCUUACGAACCUGGUUCUUGCUGCUAUAAUGGUGUCGGUAAAGAUUACUAUUAUUAUAAUGGUAGCCACGAUAUGGUCUUCUGAUUGUGGAAUGUUUCCUGAAAGGACGAUAUGAACGAAGAGAGCAACAAAGGCGAUUAGAACUGGUCUUGAUGACCUUGAUGGCACUAGAGAAGUUCAGGUUGUUACGGAAUUUUGUUUCGAUUGUCUUGGCGAAGCGUUUCCAGGCCUUCUUUGCCGGUUGAAGCUUCUUUUCCAGGCCCGAAUAAGACAUUAAGAUUUUAUUUUCCUUCUUCGAAAUGGAUAAGGAGAGGAUUUCUAAAGCAGCGCUUGCUUUUGUUGUCAUGCACCUUCAGGUCGAUCACUCUUGAUAAUUAUAGGAUUCACAAAUGUUGGUGGUCCGAAAAUGUCCCCAUAUGUUUCAGAAUAUGACAAGAAUGCCACUCCUCAAUGAUAGAAAAUUAAAAAUACAUACUGAAAGAAUCGAAGAAGCUGCGCUGGCUUAGGAUGGCAAUAAAGGCAAAUGAGACUCAAAGAAAAGGAAGAAAAUCUCUUCAUAGUCAAGCUGUCUUAGUGAUUAACUUUCGGCAGGGUUGGAGGUCCUAGUGAAAGCAAGCUUCGGUCCUAAGUUUGCCUCGGUGACGACAGCAGAUAUGUUACCACUCCAAGGUGGGCUCCAAUUCCUGUACAACAGGAGAUAUUGUUAAGAAAGAGCUCGUGUGGUCUGAAAUGAUUACUUGAAUCAAAAUGUAUAGCUGCUAUUGCUCCCUUUCAACUGUCAACUGAUCUAUAUACAAAAGUUAACGGUUCAUAGUCUUCCUAUCGCCAUUAGUUUUAACUUUCGUAGUUUCUUAUCCUAAUACUAUUGAAUUGAUGAUGACGCAGUGUAUAUCUAUAAUAUCUAGUAAUUUGCCGGUUAUUACUUGUCAUCAUCUUUGUGAUUUCAGUUAGAAGUAUUCUUCAAUCCUCCUUUUUAAAAUGAUAAGAACAAUAAGAAUAAAAGCUUUUUUUUUUCCCUAUCACUAAUGUGUUAAGCGCCUAUCACAUUAAAUCAUAAGCAGAGUGGCAUUUUCCUUUGAAGAGCUUCAUGAAAAAAUUUUAUUUUGACAUGUUCACUUUUGCAACUUCACUUUUCUUUUUCUUUUUCUUUUUUUUUCUCUUAAGAAAGAUAUAUAUUCAUAGCAUAAAGGAAUAAUAGGUCCAUGGUAGUUGCUUUACAGCUUCUUUGACAUGUUCAGAAGCUUUUACGACUAAAAUGAGAACCUUUUAUUCAAGUACUUAUUUCUCUUUAGCGUUUUAGGGAUUUUUCAUUCAGGCCUCUCGCCAUUUUAAACAUACAUUUAAACAAUGUUGAUGUUAUAACCAACAAAAAAAAAAUAUUGAGGUUGAUACUAUUAUUUUGGAAUUUAUAAUUUUCGUAAUUAAUUAAAUUUUAGAGAAAAAUAAUUUAUAAUAUAGUCAUAAGAGUUAACAAAACAUAUAAUUUAGUUUUUUAAUAGUAAGUAAUUAAUUUUUUAGUUUUUAUUUGUUUAUAAUAAUCUGUAUUUAAAUUUAAUAUUAAUUAACUAUAUAUUAGAGAAAUUAAUUCAAAUUAAAUGAAUUAAAUAUAUAUAUAUAUAUAUAUUAAAAUUAGAAAAAUUAAAAAUAAAAUUCAAAGGAUUAAAAUAUAUAUAUAUUUUUGUUGUUGGUCGUGAUUGUUUUGUGUUACCUCUAAAUUUUUUUCAUUUGAUUUCUGCUUCGCCUGCAUUAUUGUAAGUGAUAGUGACGAUAUCUGCAAUGAUGUCGAUGAGAAGGAGUUGGUUGGUGUUUUGAGUAGUGUGUCCAUUCGUGUUUUUCAAUUAGCAUGUUUAAGUUUUGGUUUGAUUUGUUGUCUUACUUAAUCGACGUGGCUUGAUUUAGUUAUUUUAUUGAUUUAAUUUGUUUUAUAUCGUGGAACUUUGAAAUAACUGUUUGUAUCCUCUUACUUUGCAGUGUCAUGGGCCUUAAAUGCUCCUCAUACUGGUAAAAUAAAAAUAAAAAAAUCUAGAAAAGAUCUAUAUAUCUGACAAUGUCUCUAGUCUGCAUGAUAUAAUUUUAACGUAAUAAAAGAAUUCUUUUAGAAAAUUGAAAAAAUAAAAAGGUGCUAAGAAUUUCCUUGGGCCAUAUCUAAUCCGUCAACAGUCAAUUUUGUCGCUGGUGUUUUUAGUCAAUACCAGUGUCCCAGCAGAGGCGUAUACAAACGGCUCUCAGCUAGCUAGUUCUCCUCGCUCAUCAGCUCAGAGAAAAAUAGCACUCUCAUGGCGAGCAAAGAGGAGGUGAACCAACUAGAGCUCUUCGGGUUUUGGGUUAGCCCAUAUGUGCUCAGAGUUGAGUGGGCACUGAAACUCAAGAGUCUUGAUUAUGUCUAUACAGAACAAGACAUCUUUAACAAGAGCUCUUUGCUUCUUCAAUUAAAUCCUGUCCAUAAGAAAGUCCCUGUGCUUGUUCACGACCAAAAAGUAAUCGCUGAGUCCCUCGUCAUUCUUGAGUACAUCGACGAGACAUGGAAGCACAAGUACCCAUUAUUGCCUCAAGAUCCUUAUGAAAGAGCCCAGGCUCGGUUCUGGGCUAAAUUUGCAGAACAGAAGGUGAUUAAUUGUUGAUUGCUUGCUUAAAACUAUAAUCUAAAUCCAAAUUCCAUUUCUUUAAUUACUAAUUAAUUACCUUUCUUGAAGAUUUUGGAAGCUGCAUGGAAUGCCCUGUGCUCCUUGGGUGAUGAAAAAGAAAGAGCAAUACAAUUGACCAUUGAAGCGCUGCAACACAUAGAGGGAGAGCUAAAAGGGAAGCAAUUCUUUGGAGGAGAACGAAUUGGGUAUCUGGACAUUGCCGCAGGAUGGAUCUCUUACUGGUUGCCUGUCUGGGAAGAAGUUGGGUCUAUGAAGAUCGUAGACACCCAGCAAUUUCCAGCGAUUUCUUCUUGGAUGCAUAGGUUUAUCAAUCAUCCUGUGAUCAAGGACAAUUUGCCUCCGCGGGAUAAGAUGACCGUUUACUUCAACAGUCGCCGUGAAGUACUAACUUCUCAGCCUCAUGGGUGGAUUCGGAUUUAAUAUCUUGAUACGCCAUUAGAACAUGUAUGUUAAUCCUCUGCUUUAGAAUAAUGACAAUAAUGAAUCUGGUCCCCAGUGGUGUGGCCCAGAUCAAUUAAUUAUCCUCUGCUAUUAUUACAGAAAAUAUUAAGUAUUCCUAAGUGGGAUUGCAUAUUCCUUCGAUUGGUCUAUGAAAUCUUUGUUUAUUGCUUUAAAAAAAAAAAAAAAAAAAACUCAAGUGACCCUUCAAGCUUGCAGUUGAACAAUAUAAUAUGUAAACUUUUGUAAAUAAAUUGUUAAUUUAUUUAUAGCUCGGAUUUAAAAACUUCCACUCUCCCGCAUGAUAAGUUCAUAUUACAGUAUAGAAAAAAGAACAAAAACUGGUCUUCAUGCCAACCAGGGCUUAUUUUUCCAAAACCCUAGUGCUAACUAGCUUUUUAACUCCUUAUUAUAUACAAUAAUUGCAAAAGUUGCAGUAGUAUUUAUUUAUUCGCUGCCUUCUGUAGCAUUGAAUCGAGAUCUAGGCCAGGGGCUAAGCAGACUGACUUCCUGUCUACCCUCCUUGACCCUCCUGGCGUCCUCCAUGGAAAUCUGGUAUGCGUUUGCUACCACUUCCACCGGCAUGGACCUGAUUGCGGAGACCCGCCCUGCUAGUUGGCAAAUUUUGGCUGCGUCAUUUGUCUUGAAAGAUACCCACUCCAGACCUUGGACGCUUGCCUUCUUCACUACCACGAAGUUUUGUGGGGCUACUAUCAUUUGGCCCUCCUGAACCUGUCCAUCAAAUACUGUGUUUCCCAUGUCAUCAGCCAUUUGGACAUGACUACUUCCUCUUGUGAUGUAGCAUAUGCUGUGGGCAUUCACGUUCCAGUGUGGUCCAAAUAUAGCAUUCUGCGCCCAAUUUCGUUAUCAUUAGUAUAUAGAACCACAGUAUAAAUUAUUAUAUGUAUUUUUUAAAAUCUUACCCUGUAGAGACACCUCUCUGAACACUGAGUUGGAGGUUUCUGAGUAUGGGUAUGUGGUGGCUAUUGACAUUGGUGAUGCGGCCGGCACGUGGGUUGAAGAUAUCAGUAUCUGAUGCUUCCACGUGAUCCCAUCUCGAAUUCUCGCUGUUGUUGUUCCUCCCUUAUUUGUCUUUCUUCUUCUGGCUUCGUUGUGGACUUAGCACCUCAAGCCCGCGCUCAACACGUACAAUCAUCCCCCUGAAAUCGCCCUCGCCCUUUAGCCUUCUUGCAAUGUCGGUGUUCACAUUGAAAGCUUCAGCUAGCAUCCGCUCAUCCAUGCCUGAAAAGACAUUCCCAGAUGUUUCAAGUUCAACUGGUCUCCGGGUUUGGCGACUCUCGCUUCUCUUACUCUGUAUUUCUCGUUGUGGAUUCCCAGCCACGAAGAAUUCCUGGAAAAUAUAUGUAAAAUAUCAAAAGUGAAGAAGAUAACAAUAAAAUUGUCGCUCAUUAUAAUACAUGGGCUUAGUUGGUUCUUACUCUGUGAUUUUCAUCGAGCUGGUUGGUCGGAUUGUUGGUGUCAAUAACUUGAACCAGGACAAGAGGAGUCCGUCCAUUGUUGUAUACCCAUUGAGCUACUCCUGCAGGCAAGGCAAUGACAUCGCCUUCUCGGAUUAGCCGAACCUUUUGGUGCAGGUCUCUCUGCGGGAUUGACUAUAUUGUGACUGAGACCCUGGCUGUGAUUGUGACGACUGGAAUGACAUCGCCUUGCCUUCGCCGUCGUAGCACUACUAGUAAAGAGAAGAGAGGAUUCUGUAGCUGUGCUAUGGUAGAUUGAAGGAGUGGACAGUGAUGGGCUGGUAUUUAUGAUGGAAAAUAAGGAUUGGGUUCAGAGUCUCGAAAGAGGCAAAUCGUUCAGUGAGAUGAUUGCUUCUUUCUGCAUGUGUAUUUGUCUCUUUAUUUUGCGUGGUUCAUUACCCUUCUCGCUUACACAUAUAUAUCAUUGCAGAGUACGUGUCGGUGAUUCUCCUCCACGAGAAGCUCAAUUAAUUACUGUUAGUUCUCUCAAGUAGGGUGACAUUGUUCUUGAGGUCCAUCACCUUCAAUGAAGCCUAAGCAGUGAUGAGAACAAUUUGAUGGGAUGAUUCUACAUAGGGCAUAUUUUUAUUGAUAAUGUUGAUUCCCACUAGUUUUCGUUUGUUUCCUUCUCUGUAUUUAUGCCUUAUGUUGAUUAUAUAUAUAAUUUUAACUUAAUUAAUCUACAGUGAUUCACACAAAAUACCUCAAAUAUCUGUAAUUUGAAAAAUAUUUAAUUCCUUUGAUUAACUGCUUGAACUAAAUGAUUAAGGGUCUGAAAUAUAAAACUCUAUUUUAAAGACGAAAAUGAUAAAUAGGUAAUUUUAUUAAACCAUAAAAAUUAAAUAAUAAUUUUUAUUUUCAUUUAAUGCCUCAUUUUGCAUAUAUUAAUAUUUAUUUAAUGAACCCAUUAAUAUGGGUGUAAAUGCAUAUUUUCUCAUAAAAUUGUUACAGAGUGAAUUAAAUAAAAUAUAUACAGAGUGUAAAUGAAUAUUUUCUCAAAACCAGUCCUAAUUAAUCCAGACAAGCAUAAAGAAAAUUAUUAAAUGCAUUUUUGAAUAUUAAUUAUAGUACUUGUUACUCACAUAAUUUUAAUUAAAAUUAUGAUAUUUAGUAAUUGAAAUAAAUUCCGCUUGUAAGCACAUAGAGCUGAUCUUAAUUAUUUUUAGGGUAAACUAUAAUUUAGUCCCUCUAGUUUAGUGAAAUGUAACCUUUCGUCCCUCUGUUUUAAAAAACCUUCAAUUUAAUCACUGUGAUUUUUAAAAACUAUGCCAUUAGUCCCUCCCAUUAGAUUUUCAGUUAAAUCACCGUUAAUUUUAGUUAAAAAGACUAAAAUACCCAUUUUCUCUCCUUCUCCUUCUCCUUCCCCUUCCUCUUCUUCUUCUUCUCCUUCCCGAUCUUCUUCUUCUGCUUAUUUUUCUUCUUCUCUUUUCCGAUCUUCUUCUUCUUCUUCACUUGUUCCUUUGCCUUUCUUUCCUCUCUUCUUCAACAUGUUAAUGGUCUCAUGCUCAACACAAGCACCGUACUUCUUCUCCAGAAACAAUGCAGCCUUGGUAACAAGACAAUUAGAAAAUGGAGAUUUGUCAUUGUUCAUGACUAUUGGCAAAGCUGCUUGGCGUUCUUCUUGAACCGUGUUUCUAGUUUGUUGAGUCUCAUGGAAUCGUAGCUUUAACCAUUGGAUAAUAGACUCUUUCAGUUCUCUUUCCAUUUGGUCAUUAUCUCCCAACCAACCAAUAAGCUCUUCAAACUCUUAAUCAGUUUCAUAUGAAACCCAUGGUGAGCAUGUAGGAAUACUAUCAUUUGGAUUAAACAUGAAUGGAAAACAAGCUCUUGACCCUUCCGAAUCCAAAAAAGUGUUCAUGCCAAGUGAAGCAGAAUGCUUGAAAAUUGAAACAUUGUCUGAUAGGCCCUUAUGAUCUGAUAUUUUCCUGAGCCGCAAAGUCAAACUCCCAUCAGCAACAACCCGAGCAUGCCCAGCAGGUGUAGCAGAAGCCCAAUACAAACGACCUAUAGAAUCACUGCCCAGAAACUCCCUCCGCGUAGCUUGCUUUAGAAGUUGUGAUUCUAUGCUGGUAAUCAGAUUCUGCAGAUGAAGAAUGUCAUCCUUAAUGGUGCUCAACUCAGGACAAUAUGCUUGUGACUCUUUCAAAGCAACAGAAGGCACAUUCUCCACAUCCUGAAUAUUCAUGUCUGAUGAGAGAGAAGGUCCUGGAUGAUCUAAAGGAGUUGAAGAGUUUUUCCCAACAUGUUCUUGCAUGUUAUUAUGGUGGCAAAUUUCACCCGUGUGCUCAGUUACUUGUUGCAGCCAGAAAUUCUUCCCUACACUUAAGAUUUUUCAAUUCCAUUGAUAAUGACCGCAAUUUCUGCUGCAAUUCAAUUGUAGUUUCCACGCACUGCUCAAGGUGCUGACAAACAAGAGCAGAGUUGAGUAAUUCAUCACAAAGGAACUUAAGAAGAAAGGAGAUCGGAAAAGAGAAGAAGAAGAAGAAGAAGAAGAAGAAGAAGAAGAAGAAGAAGAAGAAGAAGAAGAAGCAAAAGAAGGAGAUCGGGAAGGAGAAGAAGAAGAAGAAAAAGAGGAAGAAGAAGAAGGAGAUCGGAAAAGAGAAGAAGAUCGGAAAAGAGAAGAAGAAAAAUAAGCAGAAGAAGGAGAUCGGGAAGGAGAAGAAGAAGAAGAAGAGGAAGGGGAAGGAGAAGGAGAGAGAAUGGAUAUUUUAGUCUUUUUAACUAAAAUUAACGUUGAUUUAACUGAAAAUCUAACGGGAGGGACUAAUGACAUAGUUUUUAAAAAUCACAGUGACUAAAUUGAAGGUUUUUUAAAACAGAGGGACGAAAGGUUACAUUUCACUAAACCAGAGGGACUAAAUUAUAGUUUACCCUUAUUUUUAUGAAACUCAUUAUUAAGCGGUUACUAUUUUACGAGACCUACGUUUAUUUUUAAUUGGCCUAUGCUUUCUUGUAGAUUAUUCUCACACAAACUCACGAUUCCAAUCUAUAAUUUCUCGAUACACACUCGUGUAUAGCUCAUGGUCUUCCAAGAAAACCAACAACUAGCUAUACAUAUAGUUGAACUCCUCUCUGCAAACUAUCAACACGUACUACGUUGGUGAAUAUGUGUAAGGAAGAAAGGGUGUCGAAUCAUGCAAUACACCAAGACAACCCUGCAUGCAGAAAGAAUCAAGACGAUUAACCAAACGAUUUGCCACGUCCCAAAACAGAACCUGCUUUUUUCCCCUUAAAUACCCUCUACCACUCACUACUCUUUCACCACAGUAGCCUUUCUUCUCCAUAGUAGCUCCUCCUCUCUUACCAAUGGCUUUCUCUUCUUUGCUCUCUCUAACUCUCUGCUUUCUUCUUUUUUUCCACGUCUGUUUUGCUCAGACAGAACAAGGGCCUGGAUUUUGGCCAAGGCCAUAUGGCCCAAAACGCUUCCAACGAGACGAGUGCCAAUUCGAACGCCUAAAUGUCCUCGAACCCUCUCGGAGGAUCCAAUCGGAGGCUGGUGUUACAGACGUCUGGGAUGAAAAUGAUGAUCAGUUCCAAUGUGCUGGUGUUGUAGUUGUGCGCCAUACUAUUGAAGAAAGAGGCCUUCUAUUGCCACAAUACGUCAAUGGACCAAAGCUCGUAUACGUAGUUCAAGGUAUGUGUUCUCGUGUGUUGUAGUAAAUUUUUCUUGUAUGCACAUCCAAGAAUUAUCAUCUUAAUGCGAUGAAUUUUGCAGGUAGAGGUCUUCACGGGGCUGUAUUACCAGGCUGUCCUGAGACGUUCCAGUCAUCACAAUCACAGCCACGGUCACAGUUUAGUCAAACGCGAAGAGAAAGCCAGAGGGACGAGCACCAGAAAGUUCGACAAAUCCGAGAGGGCGACGUCGUUGCCUUGCCGACCGGAGUAGUUCAAUGGGUUUAUAAUAACGGAAGGACUCCUCUAGUUCUAGUUGUUGCUGUCGACACCAGCAAUCGGAACAACCAGCUCGACCCGAAUGCCAGAGUAAGGACCAUACAAAAACCCAUAUAAUGACCGAUCAUUUUCUCCGAUUCUUCUAACUUAAUUUUAUAUGUUAACGAUUCCAGUUAUUCCUCGUUGCUGGAAACCCGCAAGAAGAAUUACAGAGCCAGAGAGGUGAAUUCGGGAGAGGUGAGGCGGGGAUGGACCCAAGCCGGAGGCCGGGCAGGCGGGAAAGAACUGGAAACGUGUUUUCAGGCUUGGACGAGCAGUUGCUAGCUGAAUCUUUCAACAUCAACACUGACCUUGCAAGAAGGCUAAGGGGUGAAGAAGAUUUUAGGGGCAUUAUUGUGAGGGUACAACGUGAGCUUCAGGUGGUAACCCCACAACAAAGCGCAGAAGAAGAAAGACAAAUAAGAGAGGAACAAAGCCGCGAAUCCCAAACAGGAACAGGUGGAAGCGGCGGAUACAUUAAUGGCGUAGAGGAAACAUUCUGCGCACUCAGGCUGCAACACAACUUGAACGACCACACAGAAACUGACGUCUUCAACCCACGCGCCGGCCGCAUCACCAACGUCAACAGCAACAACCUCCCCGUCCUCUCUAGACUCCAACUCAGCGUUCAGAAAGGCAUCCUCUACAGGGUAAUCUUUUUUUAAAAAAAAAACAUACAUAUCUACACAUGCCCCGUUUAUUAUCUAGAAAGAAAAAUUCUAAAAAAAACGUUUCUAAAUUAAUUUGGCGCAGAACGCAAUGCUGGCACCAUACUGGAACGUAAACGCCCACGCCGUCCACUACAUCGUGAGAGGAAAUGGUCAAGUCCAGGUGGUGGACGAUAAUGGGAACACAGUAUUCGAUGGGCAGGUUCGGGCAGGUCAAGUUAUAACAACCCCACAAAACUUCGCUGUGGUGAAGAAGGCAAGCGCAGCAGGGUUGGAAUGGGUAUCUUUCAAGACUAAUGACAAUGCUCGAAUUAACCAACUAGCCGGUCGGGUGUCAGCAAUGAGAUCAAUGCCGGUGGAUGUGGUGGCAAACUCAUACCAGGUUUCCAGGGAGGAAGCCAUGAGGCUGAAGGAGAGUAGGGAGGAAAUGACAGUGUUGAGCCCUUGGUCUAGGUCUCGAUUCAAUGUUACUGAGGGCAGUGAAUAAAUUAAACACUGCAAAUAUGCAAUUUUAAUAAUUAAAUAAGCCUUAUAGGGCAUAUGAGAAGUAGACUCAUCUCCCUUAGUUUGUUUUACUACGAAUGUUGAUGUACAUAGCAUGCGGCAGAAUGAAGUCUAGCUAGCUAUCAGAGUACGAGUAAAUAAACGCCAAUAAAAAAUAUAUAUGUAUUACUUCAAAUCAAAUAAUUUUGGUUCAAUCUUCUCAUAUCAUUUACGUUUAUUUUUAUUCAAUUCAGGACAUUUCCUUUAUAUCGGAAUUUUAUCUUAACAAUUAUUUUAUAUAAAUAUAUUGAAUUUUUUAAAAUAAAUUAAAAUCUAGUGAUUAUAGUUUUAACUAUUACAAAUGAAAAUUACCUUUAUUUUAUAAUUUCUCAUCAUUAAAUUUAGCCUGAAAAUUUUGAUUUUUAGACUAAAUUUGAAAUUACAAAACUAAUUUAGGAAAAAAAAUUGAAAUUAGACUAAAUUGAACAUCCAAGCAAGUAUGGGCAAAGUUGAACAUCUAGCCAAUUUUUUGAAACUCAAAAAUUAAAAUCAAUGUUUGAGUAAUUUUUUUUUAACAAUGCAAUUGAAUAAUACUUGUGAGAUUUAAUAUGGUUGAUCUGAUCCAUAGAGAUUCAUAAUGAAAAUCCACGAAAUUUUAUGUCGGAAGGUUUUUUCUUUUAGUUUUAAUUUAAUUUAUGUUUAUUGUUAUUAUUAUUAUUAUUAUAAAGGCCACUUGGCGACGGAGCAAGUGAGAUUUGAAAAGCAGUUUAAUUAGGUAGUAAACGUGGAGGCAACCAGAGAGACGCGCCAAUAUCUGACCCCAAUUCCUUCUGAUCUGCAAACCUCCCUAAAAAUGUGACUCGCUGAUUACUUCCCUCUCAUUUCGCCCCCUCUUCUCUCUCACUCACUCACUUUACGCGAAUGUUGGUUGGCUUCUUGAUCUGCAUUUUCUUGAUGUUUCAAUUUGCAUGAUUCAGUUCACUCAAAACAAAGAAAAUCAAAACAUGAAAAAUUCAAUGUUUCUCCCUUUUGAAAUCAUACGAGGGUAUUCUUCUAUCAGGUCCUUCAUGUGGGAGUUUUGAAAUUUUAACUGAUUCUUGUUUUCCCCAUUUUCUUGCUUGGUUGAGGGCCAAUCUUUACAAGAUUGAAUAAAAGGAAGAAAAAGCAGGUUGAUGAGAGGCCAAAGGAGAAAAAAACAUAUGCAUCUAUGAAGACUUGGGCACGGAAGUCGCCGCCGCACCACCUGAUGCAGUUGUUGUCGGUUGAGCUUCUUCUUCUGCAAAUUUUUCAGAUGGAAUGGCAGAUCCAGUUAGUUAUGUGAAUUCUGAGCGGGACAUCGAACAAGUAAGUUCUUUUCCCGUUUUUUCCCAUUGUUUUAUUCUUUUCCUUUUGGUACCCAAAGGGCAUUUUCUGGUAUAGGGACAAGACUAAUGCAAGGGAAUGGAUUUGAGUCUAGAUCACCCCUUUUAUAAACUUGGAAGUUAGAGAAAUAAAAGUAAUUUAUUUGAAAUGCAACAAAUUUGUUGCAUUCAGAAAAUGGAAUCACCAUAUUUCAUUCUUGUACCUUACAUUACCAUUAGCAUCUGGGGAAGAAGGUAUCUUAAUCUUGUUUGCUUGAAAAAAAUUAAAUAACCUGCUUGGUAUAAUAAAGUAGGUCCAUUUAGGGGCACUUGGAUUCUUUAUUUUCUCCUUCUGUGAAGAGUAAAAAUUUUGGGAUAUAAGAACUUCUUGUGGUUUCCAUUUCUUUUGGCUAUCAUUGUAAUAUUACUUAGUUUUUUUUUUGGUUCAUUUCCUUUUCUUUUGAAGGCACUUAUUACUUUGAAAAAAGGCACUCAGUUAAUCAAGUAUAGCCGGAAAGGAAAACCCAAGUUUCGUGCAUUCAGACUUUCUCCAGUGAGUUGCUGCUGCUUUCUGACAUAUUCAAUUUUAUGUCCACGAAUCCUCUUGUUGUGGUUAAGCCUUUUGCUAUGCAACUUUUUUUGGUCAAACAGCGUAGGACAUUGUCUCUAGACAAAUUUUUUAGGACAUAAAUCAAUAUUUCGUAAAGUCUAAUCACACUUGGAAACUUAUGCAGUUCUUAGUAGAAAGUGACUAAAAUUUUGGUUGGUCCUAUGAGAAUCCAGCACCUGUGACUUGAUUAGUCCUUUAGCCUUCCAUUCUGAUAAAUUGGAUGAUAUUGUGUUCUGAGUCCAUAAGUUCAUGCAUGAGAAUUUAUUUGGAUUUUUCAUCUCAUAAAUUAGAUUAAACUGGAAUAGUAGUUUUAAAUUUGAUAGCCUGGUAAUAAUCUGCAGUCUGGUUUCUUUUCUAGGUGCUUAUUGCAGUUCACAUUGAUAAUCUAUGUCUGGAGUGGACCUCUUGUGUUAUAAGUGUUUACAGUGUAUCUUUCAAUAGCCUCAAGUGUAUAAAUAAUUUCAAUUUUAGUGAUUUUAACAGGACGAAACAGCAUUGAUCUGGUUAUCACAUGGAGAAGAAAAGUAUCUAAGAUUAUCUUCUGUCUCACGGAUCAUUCCAGGACAGAGAACUGUGAGUUGAACUCUACUCUCUUGGGGUUGUCGAUAUAUGUUUCAAUUCACUUAACCUCAUUUUUACGUAAAAUUUCAAGGGGCAACUAACAGACAUUGUUGCUUCCCUUUUUAUUUAUCUAUGUAAACCUUUUUGCAGGCUGUCUUUAGAAGAUACUUGCGCCCUGAAAAGGAUUACUUGUCAUUUUCACUUCUAUAUAAUAACGGUGAUAGGUCUCUUGAUCUGGUUAGUGCCAGUAAACAUUCAUAUAUGGUUUAUUUAACUUUAAUAAUGGAUGGUAAUUUGAAGCCUGACUACCCUUUUUUCUUCCUAUUCACAGAUCUGCAAGGAUAAACUUGAGGCAGAGGUGUGGCUUGCAGGCCUUAAGGCACUGAUAGGAAAGAAAAGUAGUAGACGUACAAGGAGUGAUAUUUCUGAUGUGAGUUCACACUUCAACUACAUUUUUCAAAGUCUGGUAAUAGAUAAUCAGAUGUAUUCCACACAACAAAUAACUUGUUGCUGGGUGGGCAGUAGUAUUUGUGUUUUUAGUGUCUCCCCAUGUUGCGGAGAGACAUUAUUCUACCUUUUUCAUUUCGGAAGUUGCAUAAACAUAGUGUACUUUUCAUGCAUUCCAGAUGUUUAUUCAGUUAAGUGCAAUAAUUUUGAGAAAAUUUAAUAAAAUAUUUUAACACAUAAAAAGCGCUGGAAAGUUCCAAAAACUGAAAUUUAUAAAAGUCAUAUAGUCAACAAUUCUUUAGGACGGGUUUUAGUGCCACUCUACUUGAAUUCAAUUAGUUCCAAUGUUAUAAAACCCAUAUAUGGAUUAUUAAAUUUUAAAACUAACAUUCAAGGUUGUCACAAAAUUUAAGAUAUGGCAUGAAUAAAUUAACUCUGUUUGAUCUUGUCCUUGAAAAUCUGUAGGAAGCAUAUGUCUCUGCAUUUGGACAUAAAUAUAAAUUUUUGCUUACCAUUAUUGAUAAUCUCUCUGCAGAAGUUUAUUUCUUGAAAGGAUUAAUUUUGUUCUCCAUGUCUUGUUGCUGCAGCUAACUGAAGGUGGGGAUUUUUUUCAAAAUGGCCGUCCUUCUAGUGUAAGUCUAGAGUUUUCUUCAAGCAUUAAUCAUGGGAGAGUGUCUGUAGAUUUAGGUUACCGUGACACUUAUUUUAAUUCAGCAAGCUCAGAUGUGGGGUCAGAACGUGCAAAUAUGCAACUAAGGACAAGUGGUGGAGAUGGUUUCCGGAUUAGUGUUUCAAGCACUCCUAGCUGUUCAAGUGGUGGAUCAGGCCCAGAUGACAUAGAAUUGUUGGGUGAUGUUUAUGUAUGGGGAGAAGUUUGGAGUGAUGGGGUUUCUCCCGAUGGGUCCACAAGCUCACUUCCUGUAAAGAAUGAUAUUUUGAUCCCUAAGCCCUUAGAAUCAAAAAUAGUUCUUGAUGUUCAUCAAAUUGCUUGUGGUAUGCAUCAUGUUGGUCUCGUAACAAAGCAAGGAGAGGUUUUUACUUGGGGAGAGGAAUCUGGGGGGAGACUUGGUCAUGGAACCGAAAUGGACUUUAGUUGUCCUCGCCUUGUUGAGUUUCUAGCAGUUACUAAUGUUGACUUUGUUGCUUGCGGUGAGUAUCACACAUGUGCUGUGUCUUCAACGGGUGACUUGUUUACCUGGGGUGAUGGAACACAGAAUGCUGGACUUCUUGGUCAAGGUACUGAUGUUAGUCACUGGAUACCAAAACGGGUUUCUGGUCCUUUAGAAGGACUUCAGGUUUUAUCUGUUGCAUGUGGCACAUGGCAUUCGGCUUUGGCAACUACAAAUGGAAAACUGUUUACAUUUGGUGAUGGAACAUUUGGUGUUUUAGGCCAUGGAGAUAGAGAAAGCGUGUCAUUUCCAAAAGAAGUUCAGUUAUUGAGUGGACUAAAGACUAUAAAGGUUGCAUGUGGCGUCUGGCAUACUGCAGCUAUAGUAGAGGUUAUGAGCCAGCCUGGAACAACUGUUUCAUCUAGAAAAUUGUUCACCUGGGGUGAUGGCGACAAAAACCGUUUAGGUCAUGGAAGUAAGGAAACAUAUCUACUUCCUACUUGUGUCUCUCCCCUUAUUGACUACAACUUCCACCAGAUAGCAUGUGGACAUACUAUGACUGUUGCCCUUACAACCUCAGGUCAUGUGUUUGCAAUGGGUGGAACUGCAUAUGGUCAGUUAGGCAACCCCAACUCUGAUGGAAAAGUGCCCAGCUUAGUACAAGAUAAUUUGGUAGGUGAGUUCGUUGAAGAAGUCUCUUGUGGGGCGUACCACAUUGCUGUCCUGACGUCAAGAAGUGAAGUGUACACUUGGGGCCGAGGUGCCAAUGGACAAUUGGGACAUGGGGACACAGAAGAUCGGAGAACGCCAACAUUAGUUGAAACACUGAGAGAUAGGCAUGUUAAAAAUAUAUCAUGUGGCUCAAAUUUUACUUCUAGUAUAUGCAUCCACAAAUGGGUCUCUGGAGUAGACCAAUCAGUUUGCUCUGGUUGUCGGCAAGCAUUUGGAUUUACUAGAAAGAGGCACAACUGUUAUAAUUGUGGGCUGGUGCAUUGUCAUGCUUGCAGUUCCAAAAAAGCGUUGAAAGCAGCAUUAGCUCCGACUCCAGGCAAACCACAUCGAGUCUGUGAUGCUUGCUAUGCGAAACUUAAAGCUGCUGAUGCUGGUAAUUCUAAUAUGAACAGGAAAAGUACCACCCCACGCCGCUCAGUGGACAUCAGAGAAAAAAUGGACAGGGGAGAGGUCAGGGCUUCAAGAGUUUUACUGUCUCCUACUACAGAACCUAUCAAAUACCUUGAGAUCAAGUCAUUUAAGCCUGGAACUAAAUCUGAGGUUCCUUCAAUAGUCCGAGCUUCCCAAGUUCCAUCACUUUUACAACUAAAAGAUGUCGCAUUUCCAAGUUCACUAAGUGCUAUGCAAAGUUCAUGGAAGCCUACUCCUUCACCAGUAUAUCAGUCUGGGAUGAACUUUACUCAGCCUAGUGCUGCUAACUCAAGACCCGCUUCACCAUAUUCAAGGAGACCAAGCCCUCCACGCACCAGCACUGCUGGAUUUUCUAGAAGUGUCAUUGAUAGCCUUAAAAAAACCAAUGAUAUUUUAAAGCAAGACAUGACAAAAAUGCAAAACCAAGUAAUAAUUGUAACACAUUUGUAAUUCUUGGUUGUGUCUUUGAUCCUUCAUUUGAUUUGUUUGCUGGUUUGAGAAUCUAAUUAGAGAAACUGACUAUCAGAAAUAACUUGUUUGUUUUUUCUUUCCCAUGUUUCUCUUGAUAACUUAGAUUAAAACUUUCAAGCAAAAGUGUGAUGUGCAAGACACACAGAUUCAAAAACUGCAGAAACAAGCUAAAGCAACUGCUUUAUUGGCUACAUCAGAAGCAACCAAGUCUAGAGUAGCCAAGGAACUCGUUCAGUCUAUCACAGAACAGGUACGUUUGCUGUACUCAUUAACUACAUUAAUGCUCUC